rnacentral:lncRNA from 1 species
UUUUUUUUUUUUUUUUUUUUUGUCAACAUAAGGAGUAUCUCAACUUUUGCCAGACUAAUUUUCCUGCGCCCGUGCAUCUCGCCCCCAUGAAUACACGAGACGGUAGGAGAACCAGAAUCAACCACACGACCUGGGCCUAAUGCGGCUAUCCCAUAGCCAGCCGAUCUGCGCCGAGGGGCAAUAAACCCGCAUCACGUGCUUUGUAUGAUUGUUGCUCAUUCUAUACUAGUAUAAUUUGUUUGAACCAGGACUCAUCAGCUUAAUUGAUGGUAGGGGGAUUAUGUAUGACAAAAGUUUGGGUCUGUGCCAAAUUGGAUACGUUGUUUGCGACCCCACAGAACCAUAUUUUGAUCAAUCACUUAAAGUCUGCAAGAACCAGCGUCAGAUGGAGGCAUCCAGUUUUGCUGUUCAUGCAAGCUUUUGCUUCUGGUAAAAACAUUGAAAGGAGAAUGUGACGAGUCAUGCUUUUUUAUGGACUAGCGAGGCAAAUUCCUUAAUUACAGCUUCUGCAACGGAGUGAUGAUACCAAUUUAGCAGCAAAUUAAGUGCCGGCUUUUGCAAUUUCAAGCAAUUAUUGUCUCAAGAAUUGGUCCCCCGGGGGCCAGCAGGUCGCAACAGCAGGCUACGAGUCACUAGUACUAUCUACAUGCCUAUAUGGUUCGUAGAUGCAUGCAUGGUGAUUGGUGCAACCAACCUUAGCUGGUGGGUUCUGUCUUGAAUACUGAAUAGUACCAAGGUUGUCGCUUCGCAAUCGACGCUUCCCCAAUUCACCUCAUCCAUCCAUCCGUUUCUCUCCAGUCUCUAUACGCAUAACGCCGAUACACAUUUAUAAAUAUAAGUUGACAUAUAUUGCCUGUUACGUACAGCUUCAGUGCAUAUCCUUUUCUUUUAUUGUGCAGUACGUCCAUCGAGUACAGUACCGAUAGUUCAUUAUUGUGCAGUACUAAAGAGUACCGAUAGUUAAGUUUGUUCAUUAUUAUCUUUUUUGGAUAAAAAAACAAAAGUUUCUGAAAUUUCCAUUCUGUUCACGAGGACUAAAAUCGCUUAUAGAAGUACUUAUAGGUAGGUUAUUUGCUAAUACAAUUUUCACGUGGAGAUUUGAACUGAACAUGCACUUUUUUUUUUUUUUGGGUAAAGAGUCGACCGAUUCAGUCAACAUGUAAUAGCCAACACUAGUGAUUCGUUCUGUUCAAUACUACUGGUAUCCAGGUGAAGUGCAGUGCUAGAAUCGAAACAAGCUGAUGAUCUCAGCGACUCUGCUGGCUCCUGCAGGCGGGCGGUGAGCAGAUGUUGCAAGACUUUACUAGCUGUCUGCAAUCCAAGUGUAAAUGCCCAUCCCCCCCGAGUCUUGUCUAAAUCAAGCAUUGAAGGGAGGGAGGAUUGCAACUAGGCCAGGCUCCAUCCUGACUUUUGUUUGCCCGAUUGAUUGCCAGGCACUCUCUCGUUUUUUUUUUUUUUGUUUGUGUUGUCCAUUCGCGCGCGGCUCCAAAAAUUAACAGCUGCAUCUGGUAGAACUGCAUAGAUGUGAACUACAGUUGGACAGAAUGAAUCCACGUCUAUCAAUUAGGUAGGCGCAUAACCAGUUUUUCGGCCACACGAUCAUUCCAUUGUAACAUGUAGACAUUCGUUUAAGACCCACGAUGAUCAUCUUAUCUGUGUUCCUAUAAAACAGUUUAUAAUGCUGCGAUGAAGCAUGGUCGAAAUUACUUACUCGUUCAAUUAAGAAGAGAAAAGUUGAAUGCAAAGGUUGCCGGCAUGAAUUUUAUUUCGUCCUUGUUAAACUUGAACAUUAAUUAAACACCACUCAACUUCAUUUACUUAAGUUGGGAGUUACACUACUAUUACCCUUCUAUUCUUUUUGUUCAAGGCAGUUCCCGAUAAAUGAUUUUCUUGACAAAUCAAGUGUAUGAGAAACUGUCGCGUAUGUACCUGAGACCGAGUACAUGUUCUUUGAUGUUAGUAAUACCCAAACAAUCAAAAUGGUUGAUUUUUUACCUAUUUAGGUGAAGCUCAAAUUGACUUAUGCUUCCUUCUGAGCCAUGUUAAUUAAGAGGAUAAUUUCGCCACAGACUCGGAAUCUAGAUGUUUGUACAGCGAAUUUGUUUUUCCAAUUUUUUGAAAAGCGUUACAAAAAGUCAAGAUGGCCGAGUUGGUCUAAGGCGCCAGUUUCAGGUACUGGUCCGAAAGGGCAUGGGUUCGAAUCCCAUUCUUGACAUCUAAUUUUUUUCCCCUUCAGAAUUGGUCCUUUAAUUUAAGUAAUCAAGCCCAUAGCUUGGGCCAACGGCAACAAGCGGGCAGCUUCAAUACUUGAACUACCAUCAAUUGUCCAAAACUUUUCUCAACCCCCGUCACAAAGAUGACCUGCCCUUGUGGUGGAACGGAUGCUGCUGCUGAUUUCUAUUGGCCCAAAAAUAAUUGCUUCUCACAAAUAAAUAUUUGGAAAUGUUCAAUUAAUGCGGGAUAACAUCUGGAGAUUAGGGAUAAUAAAUUUGAAAGUAUGCACCUUAAAUCGAAAGUGUUUUAAUUGUAAAUAGAAUAGCCUCUCAAUAUUACCAAAACACCUUUUUUUUUUUUUUUUUGCUGCCAAAAACACCCCAUCCCCCUUCUUCCUACCUCCCUAUCAAAUUUAAUAUUUGUCUUAUAAUUAGUAUAUUAAAUUUUAUAAAAUAGUAUAUUAAGUUCUUUUAUAACAAUUUUUGUUCAAGAAAAUAAAAAUUAUAGAAUAUAAAAAAGUGCAUGUGCAAAUGCACAGGAAAGAAACUAGUUAAUAUGUAUAUAUAUAUAUAUAUAUAUAUAUAUAUAUAUAUAUUAAGUAUUGGUUUGAUUAUUUAUUGCUAUUACUAAAUUUGAAUAAAGUACGCUGCAUUAAUGUUCAUGUGGAUAGUUUUUUACUAAACCUUCCUCUUUAAAAGAUUCAUGUACUUGCAAGCAUGCAUGCAUGCAUACAUACAUGUACACUUAUGUACGUGAAAAUUAAACCUUCAUCUUUAAAAGAUUCAUGUACUUGCAAGCAUGCAUGCAUGCAUACAUACAUAUAUACUUAUGUACAUGAAAAUUAAAUUAGGGAAAAACUAUCCACAUGAACAUUAAUGUGGCGUGCUGUAUUUAAAUUUUAGUAAUAGCAAUAAAUAAUCAAACCAAUAUUAGGAAUAAAAGCAUGUGAUUGAAGAUGAUUAGAAAAGGAAACAUAUGAGUUGAUUGACAAAAAACAAAUAAUGUAGAAUUAAUACAGAUUUGUAUAAGGUAGGUCAUUAAUAAAUUUGUUGACAUUGAUUAUAAAUAAGGAACCAUGUUACGAAUGAAGUAAAAAAAGAUGAGAAUUAAUGGUUACAAAGAAUAGAAAACAAAAAAUAUAUAUAUAAACAUGAAAAGCCCUCCACGUGGCGAAAAGAUAGAUAGCCUAUUCAAUGACCUACCAAAACCAGAACUGAUCAUUGUGCAAAAAUUCUAGUAUUAUUUGAAAUAUUAUUUGAAAUAAUUAUUAUAUCACUUUUUAUGAUGUGAUGUAUGUGAGAUAAAAAGAUAAUUGAGAAUAUAAAAAGAUGGGUUAGGAAAUGUGUUUAUGAUGCAAGCGAAAUAUAAUUUCCCACAAGAUUUAAAAAAUUCCAAAUCCUUACCAAAAGAAAUUCUACCAAGAUUUAUGUGCAAAAAAUUUACAUAUUUGGGCAAAGAGUGUAGGCAGGGUGCGGGGGAAAAUGUCACGGUGGAUCCACCUCUUCUUAAAUGAGACAAGGCUAUUACGAUGGAAGAUGAAAGGUUGUACCAAGUGUGGAAACUGGAAAUGCUACCUACCUUCUAAGAUGAGCAUCGCAAUAUUAAUAUUUGGAGGUACAACUGUACCCCCCCCCCCCCCCAGUAAAACAAUGGCUGCCUACCUCACAUCACCUCCCUCCAUCACCAUGUCCUUUCUGCCCCUCUCUGUCAGCCCCAUUGGACCACUACAUACAUCAGAUGAUUGUGACUAACUAAGAAGAUAAAAUGAAAAAUCGUUUGAAAACGGAUAACUGAGAAAAGGGGUAGGGAAAUCAUCUGCUCUGCGGUAUAAAUAAAGCUAUCUCCCCUACAUAUAUAUACAACUAAGCGACUGAAAACACAAGCUGCUGUGUUCUGCAACCAAGAAAGAAAUUAAGAGACAGAAAAAGGCACUAGAAUUAAUCAAGUUAUCCGUCGUCGACGCAUUAAACUUGAAGGCAAGCAUUUCUACAACAUAUCUAUCUCCUUGAUUUAUUGAGCUUUGUUUGUUUGUUUGGAUGCUGGAAGGAUAAGGGCUUCAUGCAAGAACUAGCUGCAUUCAUUUAUGAUUUUGACAUUAUGUUUGAGAAAAUAUUCGAAACUUUUUUGAGUUUCAGCUCUAUCUAUCUGCCAUUUUUCGUUUCGUAGCAAGUAUCUGUUGCCAUCUUCCACCCACCGCACCCACCGCCGCUGUAUAUUUAUAAUCCAGAUCAAGCUGUUUUUCACGUUAAAACUUCUUUCUUUUUCAUGAAUAACUGAUCUUUUAUUUGCCAAUUUUUAUACCUUUUGAGUUGGCGCAUGACAUAUUCUUACAUUUAACAGCGAAUUUAUGUAACAUGAUGUUAUUUUUUUUAGGUAUUUAUUAGCGCAAUCCAUUUUAUUUCUCUUUGCCUUUUCAACCAUUUGGAUUAGUUUUAUACUUCUUUUUUACCCCACUCUUUUGAGGGGAAACAAAAUUACUCCUACUAUUUUUGUCGACUAUAUAUAUUGCAAUUAUUACACGAUAUAUUACCACAAUUAUAGGCAACAGAAUUGCAUUGACCGGAUCAUAAAAUUAUCCGUUUUUAAUCCGCAAUUAAUUUGCGUCGCUGUAGAACUGGCAAAUAUAGGAAGGAGGAUUGGAUGAUGAAGCGUGCCUUAGCUGCUUUCUUUUCCAUACUGGAUUUUUAGGCAAUCUUAACUGUGAUUCUGGUACGAAUUAACCUUAUCCAUAAAAAUGAAAUCAUCAUUCAUGGAAUCUAUUCUGUCGUGGCUACAAUUUGGUCGCAAGAUGGUAAGUCUGUCACAUGCAGGAAUAUCUUGAACAUUAUUGCCCAUAUCAAUUUUCCUCCUACUUUCCACGGCUCUCCAGUCCCGUCAAAUUCCAUAAGUACCCUAUAGAAUAAACCAACAAAGAUACAACAGUCUAAUUUAGCAGAAAGUCUUUUGGACAGGUUGAGAAGAAAGUUUUGAGGUACGUAAUGUUCAUGAGUAGUGGUAGUUUCGUACAACAACACGUACUUUCACAUGUGAGGGGGACGUGCGUCCUUCAUGCAUUUGUCCCUUUUUUUUUUUUUGGGAUGUUUUGUCCAUGUAGCUGGAUAAACGCAAGAUUCAUCUAGUCCCCGGCCGAUGUUUUUGGGAUUUUUUUUUUGGGAUGUUAUAUCUGCGAUUCAGCAGGUAGUCAAAAGUGCGGAAGAAGUUGAAUUCAUUCAUAAUUUGUGAGAAGAGAAUGAUACAGAGAAUCAGGACAAAAAGAUUGAAAGUUUUUAAGUUGUUGAAGUGUCCAUCUUCCUCCUCCUUCCCUGUAUUUUCUCGUCUAAUUCCAGCUUUAAGUUGUUAAGUAUUAUGUGCCCAUCUUCCUCCUCCUUCCCAAUAAUUUCUCAUCUAAUUACAGCGUUGCCCGAUUGGCUUCCGCAAUAUUUGGAAGGGGUUUUAUUUAAUCAGACUUCCCCAUCCCCCUUCCUUAAAUCCAACACGCCCGCCUCAUUCCUCUUUGUAUUCCCAACUCCCGUUCCCAAACUACUCCAUCGAAGAUCCCAACUCUUAUCUUAAAAAAAAAGAAAAGAAAAAAAGAGCAGCCAUAUUCUCUUCCUCCGCCUCCGCCUCCGCCUGGAAAGAUAAUAAAAAAACUACAUCGAGGGAGUGCAACAAGAAGGAGGACUUUGUCUGGCCCAUUUUUUUUUUGGUCCAAUUGAUGCGUAUCCUUCUGAUCAGAAGGAAGCUGUGCAUGGGCGCUUUCUUUGUAGUUGAUAACGAACCCUUCGGCUAAGAAAACUGCUCUAUUCAUAUUUUAUUUUUAAAAGGAAAAGCAAAAGGUAAUUAUUCUCGCGUUCUGAAAUUAUUUCUGAUUUUCUCGUGGCAAAUAUGAUUUUGUUUGGCGUUCAUCUUUCUUUUUUUGCCGGAUUUCCCUAAUUAGAAUCAAAGGAAAAUCCUUCCUUCCUGAAUCCUGAUGCUUUUGGACCACUGGAGGAGAAAAAAAAAAGUGGAGGGCUGGUUAGGUCCGAGUCGUUUGCAGUCACGUUCCACCGUCUCUUCUUUGUCCAACAUUUGCACCGUCAUCCGUCAACUGUGAUAUCAUGAGCCCAAUAUUGUCGCGUUCUUUUCUCUCUUUUCUCCUUCCGAGUCAAAUAUAUAAGUUGUUUGACAUUGAAAGGUAUUUUCGAGGUUGCACCUGAUCCAAUUAAAGAUUUCGUAACCUUCUGAAUUAAAAAUGGGGUUCAUUCGGGCAGUUUUUUCUUGAUGUUGUCUCAUGGGAAUCAUGGCUUGUGUUCAUUUAUUUAAGUUUCCAUGAAAGCUGAAGGCCUGAAUCCUUGUAACAAAUUAAAUUAUAUUGACAUCCUGGACUAAAUGUCUUAAUUGAAUCUGGGCACAAAGUAAAAGAUUUCAAAGACAGCGACGGAACACAUGACCACCUUUUCAGUUCCACUUAUCUAUCCAGUGACAUUGCUGGCAGUCUUUGAUUCGUCUGGCCAUUUCUGAAUCGUGCCUAUACAUGGUUGAAAUAUGACGAGUACAAUUGACCAGGGACUACAGUCAUCAUUUCUGCACUCUGUCACGUUACGAUUCUAUUGAGUAGAAUGAUUAACUCUCAAAUGCUGUUUUCCCUGCAGGUUUUCUUGAUCUCGGAAGCAUCUAUCGAAACUUUCUUCCAUUUUUUUAUCCAUUUGGAUUUUUUUUUGCUGUAGUUACUACCCAGUUGGAAUCAAGAUGGUGGAGGGGGGUGUUACUGCUGUGAGCAGAACAGAGCUCACGGAAUUCUGGCGGACGAUAUGGAGAACGCCUUAUAUUAUGCGCCUUGCCUUAUCAGCUGGAAUUGGAGGGCUUCUGUUUGGCUAUGACACUGGUAAGUAGACCUCGCUCCUUACUAAUUUCGAACGAUCACUUCAUCAUUUGUACGGUCUGAUAAUGAUGAAAUGCUGCUGCUGCUGAAUGCAUCAAUGAAGCAAAAAUAUUUCUUUGCAUUCAAGCUCUUACUUUUGCAGCUUUAGCUCGUCAAUCAAUCCAUCCGGGGAGGGGCCAGAAUGUAGAACAGUGCAUGAGCUUCAAAUUAUCAAAAGUAGUAGUUGAUCAAAUAGUAGUACGCGUUCUGUUCAAGUUUAUUGAAAUCGUUGUUUUGAUGCAGGUGUUAUUUCUGGUGCCUUGCUCUACAUCCGGGAUGACUUUGAUUCCGUUAAAAACAACACAUUUCUGCGAGUAAGUUACUUGCAAAUGCCUUUUGUUUGCACGAUGAAACGACUGGUUAAUUAAUAUCAGACAAGAUGGUUUAUUAUGAUACUUUCUCUGUCACGUGAAGGAAACUAUUGUUAGCAUGGCAGUAGCAGGAGCUGUGAUUGGUGCUGCAUUUGGUGGUUGGCUCAAUGACAAGUGUGGUCGGAAGAAAUCAAUUCUUUUAGCUGAUAUGCUGUUCGUUGCAGGUGCCAUACUUAUGGCUGCUGCUCCUGGUCCCUGGAUGAUCAUUAUUGGGAGAAUAUUUGUGGGAUUGGGAGUUGGAAUGGCGUCCAUGACAGCACCUCUCUAUAUUUCGGAAGCUUCUCCUGCUAGAGUUAGAGGUGCGUUAGUUAGUACCAAUGGUUUGCUGAUUACCGGAGGAGCUUUUCUGUCUUAUGUGAUCAACUAUGCAUUCACCAAGGUAUAAGAUAAGAUUGAAUCCCCAAAGCAACGUUCUUGAAACAUAACAUACUACCGGUACAAGUUUCCUCUAAAACAGGAAAAAAAAAAAAUAGGAGUGAAGAAGUUCUGACUUGUAUUUAUUUCAUGUGCCCUAGACGCCUGGGACGUGGCGUUGGAUGCUUGGAGUAGCAGGUUUUCCGGCUCUGAUCCAAUUUCUUUUGAUGCUUUGGCUUCCUGAGUCUCCUAGAUGGCUCUAUAUGGAGGUAAAUACAUAUGUAGUGGUAGUACUGCGAAUUUUCUGUUGUGGUGUGGUGUGGUGUUUCAAUAAUACCAAUUCUCGGUUAAUUUUCAUCAAAGUUUGAUGUUGGCGACCUUGAAUUCUGUUGAUUAGAAUAAAACGGACGAAGCUAGGAAGAUUCUGGAGAAGAUUUAUCCUGCCGAGGAAGUUGAGGAAGAAGUCCAGGCCUUAAAAGCCUCCAUCGAAGCUGAGAAAGCUCAGGAAGGGCCUGUAAAUGAAAACUUUUUCGCGAAGCUUAAAGCGGCCUGGGGUAAUGUAGUGGUCCGGAGGGGACUGUAUGCCGGAAUCACCGUCCAAGUAGCUCAACAGUUUGUUGGUAUCAACACCGUUAUGUACUAUAGUCCUACCAUAGUACAAUUUGCGGGAUUUGCUUCAAAUUCGACCGCUUUGGCACUAUCUCUGAUUACCUCUGGGCUUAAUGUUGUGGGUACCAUCAUCAGUAUGCUUUUUGUUGACAGAUAUGGCAGGAGGAGAUUGAUGAUAGUCUCCAUGUUUGGGAUCAUAGUUUGUCUGGUGGUGUUGUCCGUCAUGUUUUUUGAAGCUGCCUCUCAUGCCCCACGAGUCAGUCACUCUGAAUCCUUCAAUUUUAGCGUCAAUUCUACCUGUCCCAGCUUCGUCCAAGCCUCAAAUCCUGCAUCUUGGAAUUGCAUGACAUGCUUGAACGCAUCUCCUAAGUGUGCCUUUUGUUCUAAUGGAGCUAGCCAAGUGAGUUUUAAUUUUACAUGCUCUUAUUAAACGCUGUUCUUUCGAGGUUUCCACGAAUCUGUGAUUGAUACUUUUAUUAUUAUUAUUUUUUUUUUCAGUAAAUUGAUUGAUGAUUCGUUUGAAUAUGUGAUUCUUUCAUCAGUAUCAACCUGGGGCAUGCUUAGUGGUGGACGAUGCUCUGAAGGCUAAAUGCCACAGCGAACAUCAUCGCGUAUGGUUCACCGAAGGCUGUCCGAGCAAAUUCGGAAUUUUCACCGUCCUGCUCCUAGGAUUGUACAUCAUUUCGUACGCUCCUGGGAUGGGGACUGCACCUUGGAUCGUGAACUCUGAGAUAUAUCCAUUGAGAUACAGAGGGUUAGGCGGUGGAACUGCGGCAGUCUCCAACUGGGUAGCUAAUCUGAUUGUCAGCGAGACAUUCUUGACGCUGACAGAGGCACUUGGGUCUGCCGGCACUUUCCUUUUGUUUGCUGGAUUCUCCUUUCUUGGACUGGUGGCCAUUUUCUUCGUCGUACCUGAAACCAAAGGUUUGCAAUUGGAGGAGAUUGAGAGCGUGCUCCAAGAGGGUUACAAGCCAACCUUGUUCUGCUGCAAGGGAAAAGCAGAGGAAAAGGACAGUGGCAGGUGAAUAUCCAAACCAGUGCUGCAGCUGCUGCGUAAAUAAAUUUUUUUAAAAAAAAAGGGUCUUGCCUGCCUAAGUUUAAUGUUGAUCAACUUUUUUUAAGUUUAAUUUCCAACUGCGCUUGGGCUUGUUUUAUUUAAUCAACUAGUUUUGGACCCGUUCGUUGAACGGGAAUCGUCGAAAAAUAAUAAACUAUUUAGUCAAUUUAUAAAAAUGUCGAUAUAAAAUACAUAUUUAAUGUAUAAUCUAUUAUAAUUUGUUUUAAAUAUAUUACUAUGAGCGCAUUAUAAUGUAAAGUAUUCUUAUAAUAUAAAUUUGAACAUCUAAUUCAGUGAAUAAUAAUUCAAAAAUAGAAAAAAUAAUAUUCAACAAUAUCAUAGCAUUCAAAAACUUGAAAAUAAAUAAAAAGUGCAGUAAAUAGUAUCAAAUAACAUUCUACUCUUCAUAAACUUAUUUUUGUUUUUUCUGUUUGAAUAUUUUUCUUGAUUUGUCCGUGCAAAUGAGUAUUUAUUGAUUUUCUAUUAUCACUGCAUGAUAGCAAAGUAGGAUAAUUAAGUAUAAAAAAAAUAAAUGAUUUAUCGCAUUCAAGGUUGUGUAUAACAAUACGUAAAGAUUAUAAUUAAGCAAACGGCCAGAGUCUUUUAAUUAACUAAUGAAUUUGCAGAUAUAUCUAAUAGAGAUAUUUAUGUCUCUUAUAUUUAUAUCGCAUUACUUUCUAGUGCCUUUUGUUUUUGGUUGUUUUUUCUGAAGGCAAAUUAACAAACAUCGUAGUAUAUGACCACAAAAAUCAAUUAACAAACAUGAUAGAAAAAAUCCUACAAAAAAUAACAAUGAAAGUACUUGUUUAAAUCCUAUGUCUUCAUACAAAACAAAUAGAAAAUAAAACAAAAAAAAAUAAAAUUCAAAAUAUGUUAGUAAGCUCUUACAAUUGAAGAUCAACAUGCCUUUUUAAAAUAUAUAUAUAUUGAAAGAAAAUUUACCUGAUAAUCAAGAGAAGUGGAAACUCAAAAUCGAUACUUUAAUAUGACAACCGUUUGCACUGGAAAUAUCUAAACAUGAAUUUGAUGCUUGAAAUCAAUAUAUUAGAGACUAUAUAUAGUGUAGGUAUAAGAAAUAAGAAUUGAUAAGAACAUUAAAAGUAUGUUUAUCUUAAUUUAAGUUGCUUAAAGUACGUAACUUUGGGUAGGAAAUAAGAAUCCUACAAUAUAAAGAAUUCUUAUAGGAAAUAAAAUCAUAAUCGUCCAAAUAAUUUUGGGUAGGAAAUAAGAUCUUAUGUGACCCAUACUAUGCACGUAUAUAAACCUGUACGUAAUAAAUUUACAAAUGCAUUAUCAAGAUAGAUUUUACCGACCUUAAAAGACCACCUCCACUAUAUCGAGUCCUUUAAGUGCAUGAACUCCUAUAAUGUGAGUCUACACACGAAAUACUCCUCACCAUCUGGGCAGAGAUGUAUUGUGAUUAAAAAAUUAUUAAUAUAAAUAUAUUUUAAAAAAAAGACGGGCGGAGAACACUACGGAUACUACGGACGGAGGUCUUUCUCUUGGAUUGGAGGACACUAAGGACGGAGGGUCGGGUAGGGGUCUUCGGGGUGCAAAACUUCAACAAAUAUCUAAUGUUUUAUCUCAUAUUUCUUUAGUUAUGAUAAUGGGAUUUUAUUUCUUUGGUUAAUGACACUCCAUUUCUUUAUGGACUUUUCCAGAAAUUUUCAAUCAGAUGAAGUGUCAUUUCUCUUUGUACAUCAAUUAUGCAUGGGAACUGUGAGUCUUAUAAAAAUUUUCUCGGGCUAACUUUCUUUAAUUUUCAUGUUUAGAUUAUUUGUAUGUUGUUCUAUAUAUGGAUAGAUUAUCUUAAAAUAAAAAGGAUCUAUAAUGAAGCUGUUAAAAAAAAGGACACUAUAAAAAAAUAUUAUCAUUUAUUCCUAUAUAUCUAAUAGAGGAGAUUUAUGUCUCUUUUAUUUAUAUCGCGUUACUUUCCAGUUUCUUUUUUGGGUAGAAAAUAAGAAUCAUAUAAUAUUAAAAAAUUUUAUAAAAAAUAAGAAUUGAUAUAUAUCAAAACAAAAAAAGAAACAAGUCAUGUAGAAAACAACUUGUCGUCUCAUUAAAUCAUAUAAGAAAGAGAAAAUAUAAAGGGAUAAGAACGAGCAUACGACUUUAUUAUAUAUAUAUAUAUAUAUAUAUAUAUGAUACGUUGGUUUUUGGCAAGUGAAGUACUUACUAUAUAUUAUUUGGCCAAAGAGGUGCUGGUAAACUUACAAAUACAACAAUUUCGGACUCGGACCAAUUUGCUUUGUUGAGACUUUUAUCCAUCGGAUAGCAAUUAAUCUCUACCGUCCGUCUAGGCUUUAUUUCCUUAAUUUUUUGGUCAGUUCAAUGAAUGGAUAAAUAUCGUGAUGGUGGUGGAGCGCGGAUGCCUCCACUUUUAUCAAAUCAUUAUUAUUAUUAUUUACUCCCAGGAGACAAGUACCCCCCCCCCCCCCCCCAAAACAAACACACACAAAAAAGAAAAUUUUUUGACAACAAAUACUAACACUUGUAGCAAUCAUCGUCGGCCUGAGUUGUGCUCGCCUCGCCGGAGAAGUCCUUUUUGUUUUUGUUUAAUACAACAAUUGAUAAAAUGAUGAUCCCAAAUUCUACUGACUUGGUGAGGAAACAGCAGCAUUUGUUUUACUUGAACCCAUAUUUUGUUUUAUUUUUGUCGGCAAAUAUGUCAUCUAAUAAUUCAACAAUUAUUCUCGACCUCUAAGCUAUGCCCCCAUCCCCCGGCCCCCAAAAAAAAAAAAAAAAUCCUUUUAAAGCACUCUUCUUUUCUCGUUUUAUGAAUGAUUGGUGCAAACUCAUUUAGACAUUUAGUGAAAUGGACUGCAAAACAACCCGACUUUAGUCGGCAUUCGAAUAUCUGAUUACAACUUCUCUUCUUUUCAUCAAACUCCACAAUAAAACAAACUACCAGUCAUUACAGCCCGACUUUAGCAGCGGUAACGAGGCUCACAAUCUUGAGUUAAAACUAUUGAUGAUGCAGAAAGUAAUCAUCACAAGCCAAAUACACACAGGACAAUUGUCUGAACUCAAGGGCACACGGACAAACUCCAGACGGACAAAAAAGAUUUGAGAGCCAUGGCAAAAGAAAAUUCAAACUGAGUAAAAUAUAUUAUUAUUAUUGAUGAGCGGACGACCCCUACUAUCCAAACACAUAUUUUUAGUUGCUCCGCCAGCUAAUAAGGACAACACAGUAGUACUAAUACUGAAGAACGAAGAAGAAUGAAUUCACCAAAACCAUAAAAAGUUGGUGGCCAGCGCCAGCCAGCUUUCUUACUUUCCAUAGGAGGAGGCUAUAUACAGCGCAAGUAUGCAAAUGCAGCGCCCCCCCCCCCACCCCCGCCCGGGGGGGUUCCAUUUGAACUCAAACUUACUUUACAACAAGCACACUAGCAAGUUAAAAGGGACCCUACUCAACUUUUCAUCAUUUUUCAUCCUCUGCGUUGUCGCUUCAAAAUCAAAAACUGCCCCCCUCUGCCCCUCACCCUUUUCUCUCCCAACAAGUUAAAAAGCAAGAAUUAGACAUCGAGACACAUAACAUGUACCCUAAAAGUAAAAACCACCUACUAGCCUCGUGAACAUUUCCAGUCCAAUAAUAACCAAGAGGGUAUAAAAAAAAAAAACACCAUCCUUUUUACUUUUCACUGUUUUUCUAGUAAGAUCACAAACCAUCUUUGAUUUGCCAACCAUGGCGGCAACAGGGUCCGAGAUACCAAGUAUGCUAGAACAUUUUUAAGUUCUUCAAUGGAGAAACUGAAAGGAAGAAUGAGAAGAAAAGGCAGUUGUGUCCUCGUAUUGGAGUAGCAGCCCCCACUAAUAAAAGAUGCCAGACAUCAAUCAGUAAAAACAUGUGUGAAAGUGAAAGAGGACCCAAAACAAUAAUAUGAUUUUAAGUGGGGAGAGGGGGAGGAGGAGGCUGAGCAAGCAAAGUGGAGCAAGAAUGAGCUGCCUGCAUAGUUCCAUAUCAGCUAGUGGGGGCCUUUUUGACUUUGAGAACCACCAAACAGGCGCAACCAAGGUGACUAAUAUGCGAGAGAGAAUCACCAAUAGUCUAGCAUGAUUAGUCAAGAAGAAAAUCACCAAUAACGCUCCGCAUGUUCAUAGGAAUCAGAUAAUCACUUGUUAUCAGUUUCAACGAAUUUGGACAUCCAAAAACAAGCUACAGGAUUACAAUCCAAAUCCUUAGCAAACAAAACCAAAACCAGGCAACCAAAAUCUCACCCACAACGCCGUACAAUAGAAGUGUUAAUGAAGGAGGGAUGUAAACCCUCAAAAAGACCUACCCGAUAAUAAUUAAUAAUAAUAAUGCUUCUAAAAGUCAGCUCUUCAUACUAUUUCCUAGCAGUCUAUAUUUUCCCCACUCAAUAGUAGAAUCCCAAACUCUGCAUCACUCUGUACAAACUAUCAGAAACCUUCCUUCCUAUAUACAGCCAAAAACAAACCACAGCAAGCGCUGAUAGUUUGAUAUGAAGGCAACCAAUCAAAUACCUUCUACGGGGUUGAAGGAGAAGCCUCUUGUCUUGGUUCUCUCAAGUACUCCAGAAGCCUUUCAGCCUGCCAAAGAGGAUGAAAAUGGCGUCAAGGUUCGGCAUUUCAUGUGUCAAGAAAUAGAGAGUCUAAUUGAACAUAUAAAGGCAACAUAUCACUCUAAUCCUUUCCAUAGGCAGCAGGACGGGGAUGGGGAAAAUCAUGGCAAAGCAAAUUUUAAAUAGCCCACAGGGCAUUCAUAACCUCGUAAACAAAAAUCAAUACUCGGUACAAAUACCCAGAAAACAAUAAAUUCAACGAUCAAUGAACGAUACCCUGUAAAAUCUCAGCACUAUAUACCUUAACGAUCAAUGAACGAUAAAUUCAACGAUCAAUGAGCGGUACCCUGUAAAAUCUCAGCAUUAUAUAUCUUAACUAGAGGCUUCAAACUUGAUUCGAACCAACUUGUUAAGAUACUCUACCAAUUACGGGCGUCCAAAUAGUUCAGUAAGUAUGCUGGAUCAAUACGUUCAGAUAAAAAGUCAAACAAAUUAAGUUCAAGAUUUCCGCAACAACAAAUUCUCAAAAUUGCAGGUGAAGGAACAUUGGCUUGUUAUCACCUGUCAUUCGAUCUAACGCCCUAAACAGAAUGCUGCAGAAAGAUAUCUAACUACGUGAAACUAGCUUAAUUUGAUCGCAAACACAAGAAAUAGCCGAGAAACGGAAGCUUCAAUCAAUCACAGAGAAGAUCAAAACCUCACCUUGUGCUUAGCCUUAGCAGUCCCAGUCUGAGACAGCGCCACAAGGGGAGGGAUCCCCCCUUCCCUAACCAACAACCCUCUGUUCCGAACACUAUCCCCACAAAGCUGCAAUAAUGUCAACACCGCGAAUUCCUUCCCCUUAUCAGAGCCAUCUUCAAUAGCCUCCACAAAGGCAGCAAUCCCACCUUCCUCCACAAUUGCAUCGCGGCCCAUUUGAAUCCCGGCUAAGCUACUCAGCACCACCAUCGCCUUCUCUGCCAACCCUGUCCCUUGCUCUCCGACCAAACCCACCAGCGGCCUCACCGCGCCGGCAGUCACCGCCCUCUCCUUGUUCAGUUUGACCGAGCAAAGCUUGUAGAGAGUUGUCAAAGCAUCUUUCUUCCCUCUGUUCGACCCAUUUAUCAACAAGGCCACUAGCGGAGGAAUAGCCCCGCAUGCGCCUAUUGACAAUUUAUUACUCUCGUCGACUAAAGCUAAAUUCAGCAGGGCGCAGGCAGCGUUCUGUUUCGAGAUCUCGGUGCCGGUUUUCAACACAUAAACGAGUGAUUUUACAGCUCCAGCGUCAGCUAUCAGAGCUUUGUUAUCUUGAUGGAGGGAAAGAUUCAACAAGGCCGUGACGGCGUGCUCCUGCGUCAGGGGGUCUGAGCACCGGAGCAGCGGUAUCAAGGCCGGGACAGCUCCAGCCUCGCCAAUGAGAGCCCGAUUAUCGGCCCUGUUCUUGGCCAGGAGCCUCAGUUUAGCUGCCGCCGACCUUCGAACUGCGACGGAGGAGGAAUUGAGUCCGUCUACGCAGAGUUUGACGGUGGGCUGAAGGUCUUCCGGCGAGAUGCUCUCGAUAAUCUCAGUGGAGAAGGUUUCCCUCUGGAGAAAGCCAGUGCAGGGUUCGGGCUCGUCCUGGGGCUGGAGCUCAGAGAUGGGGGCAGGAUCGGGGACGGUGGCGAGUCGGUGGAGCUCGCCGGAGAUGUCGCUGGAGCAGGCGGACAAGUCGCUGCCGAAGGAACGGGAAAUCAUGUCAAGGUAAGUAAAAUCCUCAGCUACGAACGGGGCGGCGGGAUCCCGAACCCCUCCGGCGGGGGUGUGGGAGGCAGUUUUGGUGGCGAGUUCGCCGAGACGGAGGUCGAUGAGGGCGGAGUCAGACAAAUUUUCGGAAACAUUGGUAGAAAUUUGGGGAAGGGAGAGAAGGGAAGGGUGGUCGGGGGAGGCGUCAUGGAUUUGGAAGAAAUUGGAGCGAAUAGUGCGCAUGGAACGGCCCAUGGAGCGGUGAAGUUUAGCAGAAGAAGAGAGGGGCGGGGGAGUGUAAUAGUAAUGGUGUUGUUGAGGCGUUUGAGGGAAGCGAGAGGUGGAAUUGGGAAUGGAGUGAGAGUAAGUAUGGGAAUGGGAAUCUUCUACGGACACCAUCCUAUCGCUAUAAUCCUAAUCCUAAUGCUUCUAAUCCUGAGGAGUGGAAGAAGAGUAGACUGCUGUGUUGUGUUUCCUCGUAUUACUGAUGGUUUGUUUCCUUGGAUGACCAACCAACAAAUACAAAUAUGCUUUCCACCUGAAAAUCUAGACUAAACAACCUUCAUAUACACACAUAGCAGAAAGAACUAACUAACUAACUAACUGCUUGGGGUGGUGGUGGCGGUGGUUGUGGUGAGUGGUGGUGGGUGGUGGUGGCGAGAUAAUUUCCAUAAUCCGGGAAAUUAUAUGCUUUGCUGGAGCCUCGGGACUGGAGUGGAGUGGAUGUGGAAUGAAGAGUCAGUCAUCCGUGUGAGUGGCGUGUUUGGCUCGUACUGUGGUCGUAGCUAUAGUAAUAAUGGAGAAGACGACUAGCAAGAGGAUGAGGAGGGUAAAGUGAAUACUAUGAUGGGAGGGGGUUUGGCGAAUUAAAAAGGGAGGGUACCCCUUACCUUACCUUACCUUACAUAUGGAUGAAUUUGAGUGCUGAGAGUGAUGGAAGGUUCUGGUUUGGUCCAUUUGGUGGGCUCUGCUUGCUUGCAAAGGGUGGAUGGAAGGUUAUAUUUAUUAUAUUUGAUAAGUUCACGGCGCUGUGUUGUUAUAUUGGGCCUCACAAAGGAACAUACAGCUGGAAUGUGAUCCACUGCUGGGGGCCCCACUCUCAGAAGUGUGUGAGGCAAAGCUUCCCGGGGGUGGAAGAGAUCAGGUGACCCUAGCAAAUGCCAAUGAUGGUAACAGUGGAACGUCGGCGACAUGGAUACUAGGUGACGUCGUCGUUUCUUUGCUACCCCCUAGGCUACCACCGGCAGUAGUGGCCACUACUGCAGAGUUAACUGUUAAGUCGAAUCGACUUUAAGCAGUGCAUUUGCUGGAGUUCAUACUCUGAACUACUUUAUGCUAUUCGAGUUUGAUUGAAUCGAGUUCAAUCGAUUUUUCAAGUUUGAUUUUUGUAGUAAAUUUUAUAAUAAUGAAUAAUUAAAAUUAUAUUAUAAAUAUACCAUCUGAUAAGAUUUAAGGAGUGCACAAAUCGUGAUUUAACUUGCUAGAAAUCGAUUCAAUUGCUUUUUUAAACAAUUCAAACUCAACUCUAACUCCAAAUCCAACUAUGCAUAUGAUAUCGCGGUACAGUAGUAUUUCUUUUUUUUUUUUUAACAAAAUUUUGAUUCAAACGGCUUUUAGGCUUCAGAAUGAGAUAAACUCUUUCCCUCCUCAUAAUCUUUUCAUGCACCAAAAAUAUUAUUAUUAUGAUGUAUUAGAUAUAGAAGAAUAUCAGCACACAACACAGAACCAUAAACUAUUUUUAUAAAGAAAUGAAAAAGGAACGGAGCUCCCUCACUUGACUGUUCCUUGUGAAGCUCCGUGAAGACAAACAUAAAAAAAAUGAACCAAAAAAAAAAAAAAAAAAAAAAAGUACUCCUACUAGUAGUAAAAGGAUUGCAUACAAAAAAUGGGGCAAAAUCGUGACUUCAACUUGUUUGGAAAUUGUGGAAUUCCACGAGCAGUUUCUUUCUUGUAAAUGGUUUCUUGUUUAAAUUGCUAUGUUUUGAGGAAAAAAAAUUCAUUUUUCGUGAAUAAUCCUUUUAAUUAUCUUUUUUAACCUCACAUAUAUCGCAUUUUUUAAAAAAAUUGUUGCAAUAAUUUUUUUUCUAAAAAUUCUUUAAAAAAUGCAAUCCAAACAAUUUUAUUUCAAACUAGUGAUAUUUUUUUUUUCGACAGUCAGCAAUAGUCUACUCAUACUUCUACUCGAACAUAUUCUAAGGGGAGUCCAACUGGGUCAAUAGAUAACCAAUUUGAACCAAAUCACCAUCGGAUCGAACGAAUGCACUAUAUACCUGUAUGAAUUUUUUAGAGAAUCGCAUAAUGUAACAAUUAGUAGGAGGUAAGGAUUCACAAAGCCUCCCACCCCACCAAGCCUUAAGGACCUGGUGGAGGGCCGGUGGUCACAAACUAGUGAUAUCCGAAGGCUAAGAAAACGAAUAUUGAUUUGUGCACAUAAAUUCUGGUUGACAUGGAAUUGCUUCACAAGCAGAUAGAGACUAACGUCAGUCUCACUCCCUUACAAUUACUUGAGUGAAGAAUAAAUAAGUAGGAGUUCAUGCCAAUCUCCACCAUUCAUUUGAUUGCAAGCCAUAAUUCAAAAGAUACAUACAGAUUUUAGUCAGAGGUGAUCUGAGAUUAAUAUGAUAUAAAUAUAACUGUCAAAGGUUUCCCCUUUUUAAAAAUGAAAGAAAAAGAAAAAGUGUUACUCAUGGGUGUUAGGUACUGUUUAUCCACUUUGGUUAAUUACCAGGGAAAAUGAUGUGAUGCGAACUUGAUGCAGUGUAUCCUGAAAAAAAUAAGACAGUAAACCCAAAAAAAAAAAAAAAAAAAAAAAAGGAGGAGGAGAAUGAAGAAUGAAAACGUUUAUAAUUUGGUGAACAGAUUUUAUUUUUCCCGUUUUCUUUUCCGCUGAGCUGAUUUUUUCAACCUGAAGCCUGAAGGGGCCUGCAGGGGAUAAAGUGUUUAAAGGAAUAAACUUUUUCCCUUUUUUUCAUUUUUCUCGAUUCUUUUGGGUUGCGGGAGAGAGUGACAGCGGAAGCAGAUUCGCAUGGAGGGUGCCGCUACGACAAGAGGCCACUUGGUAGGAGGAGAGUAGCGUUUGGGAAGUGGUUCACAACUGUCAACUGGGACGGGUGGUGUUAAUAAAUGCCUAAUCCCUUCCUGUUCUUAAACUUUCCUCCAGGUUAGAGUCUGGAGAUUGGUCGGUUUGUGGUGAAGUUGUUCGUUGGAUCCUCAUCGGACGGUGUCAGGGGCUUUGAAAAUUGAUCCCCCAGUCAACUACUAAAGCAUUUUGCGCCAUGCAGCAGCUCGCUGGCUGUUGACAGAGGCUGACCAAAUAGGGUCCGGUUCUUCCCAAGUAAAAUUUAGUUGAAGUCAGUCGAAUUCAAUUUGGAGUAAAAAAAAAAAAUUUUGUUAUUUUCAUUCCAUUUUUUUUUAAAUUAUCUACGCUCAUAUCAUUUAUUUUAUUAGAUAGUUCGACAAAUAAAUAUUAUAUGAUUAAAAUAAUAGUAAAAAGAAGCCAAAUGUUCACCAAUUAGGCUGGCUAUCAAUCGCUGAUAUAGCCCAAUUUGCGUAGCCAUGUUCUGCAAGUAUUUGGCAUUGUACAAGUAGAGUUUGUUUUUGAUUUCGGCACGCUUUUAUCUUGUAUUAAUGCUGAUUUCUUGGAGAUAGGUAGCAGAUUAGUUAACUCACAUGAUAAUAGGUUCUGAUCUAUUAAUAUCCCCAUCCAAACCAAGCAAUCGGUUCAAGUGAUUACCUGGUACGAGAGGCUCGAUAUGUCAAAUUGGGUAAGCAAUUUACUUGGAAAAAAUGAUGGCAUCGGUUAAUACAGCGCAGUUGCAUGGACCCAUUUUAAGGCAUUAACCGUUCCCCGUAACACGUCCUCGCUGGCUGGAGAGGCCGGCGCCUCCAUCACCUACUACUUCCGGCCGGCUACUAUAUCUCAAAUCAAGAAAUCAAAAGCAGAUAUGCUGCUCUUUUCAAGAUUUUGUUACCCCUUUCUAAUUAAUUAGUCUCUUUCCAGCUUCUUCUGGGUUUAUUUUGGUUCUUGGUUUGAAAUUUUCUUCCCUUCCUUUUUUUCCUUUUGUCUGGUGGUUUGCUUCUGUCUGCAAUCUUCUAGUAGCUUUUUUUCUAGCCAAUUUUCUAUUUAUGGUCAACGAUGCCGGAGCAGCACGAUGUAACGUUGCGGCGUUCAAUUUGUCAUGAUCAAAUUCUGGUGUUGAUGUUAUAAAUUUCCACAGUACGGAUCAAAAUUCCUCUUCUUUUGGUUUUGGAAGAGAAACCAACGCAGAAGGUUUGUAGUUUCAACUUUCAAAGUCUCGAAGAAAUCCAUCUCAUUAAUUUUCUGGGCAAGGUCCACUCAUGGUCAUGGGCGGGCAUUUGUUUUACCGGGCGGCAGGCAGGCAGAGGCUUAGCUAGCUACCGUGAAUUUAUUUAUCUCUCUUUUGAUUUUUUAUUUUUCGGAAGGGAGCUACCAUGCAUGAAAUAUGGAUGUACUGAGCGAUGGAUAUAAUUGAAAAAUAAAUAUUAAAAAAAAAAUCUCAGUGGUAGCCACUAUUGCAUAUUAUGAAUAUUUAUGCGCAACGGAUAUUCUGUCCCAUAUUCUGUGCCACUCUCUAUCCCACUUUUUAUUAUAUUGUUAUUUUUCCUACAUAAACAUCAUGUUUUAAUUUUUUUUUGUUUUCUUAAGAUUCAAUAACUAUUAAUUGACAAAUAAACAUCAUGUUUUAGUUGUUUUCUUAAAAAGUGGGACAGAUAGUCCUCGCGAUAUUUAUGAUGCCACAUUAGAGAUUCAGAAUGGUCAUAUUUAGGCAACAAUUAGUGCUAGCUAGCAACACAUAUUACAAAAUCCCAAAAUUUGCUACCUAUAACUACUGCCGAUUGCUUGUCGCCAACUAAUAAGUAUUAGCCAAACCAAAACAGCUUAAAAAUGUCAAAAUAGUUGCAGUCCAGUAGUAUUAAUUUGGCAAACGUGGAAAUUUUCUGAUGCCAUGUUGUCCUUGCAUGAUACACAGCAUGCUUAGUUGUUUACCAACUUUGUAGAGGACCGGCACGUCCCCCCCCCCCCCCCCUCUUUAUCUAUCUAUUAUAAGUAGUAUUUUUCUUGAAAAAUUUUACUGUAAUAAUGUAUAUGAAAAAAUUGUACUAUAAAAAUUAUUUGAAAAUUUUAAUGUAUUAUAUUGAUGAGAAACACCAUAAAGUUGAAAUUCACGUUCUUAAUGACCAUUGUGAUUAAAUGGCAUGGGGGCAAAAAGAAAUCUUAAAUAAGCUGACGGGGCGGGGAAUGGGAGGUCCUCGCAAUCAAAAUGUAGGGUAGGACAAAAAAAUAUGAUAAAUGUUCAGUUCAACAAAAUUGCGAGAAAAGGAAGAUGAACAACCCAAUUCUCAAUAACGAAACAUAUUAUUUCUAGUCAUUGCAGUAGCGUGUAGAUCAUUGCAAUAGCUUUCCGACACACGCAUUAAGGAUGUGGAUUAAAGCACUUGUAAAGUAGUAGUACAAAGUAAGUUGGGGUUAACCUUUAAAAGUUGGAGUGACGAGGUUUCUGAGUUAUAGUAAAUUAUUUCCUGCAAAAAGUACACUCAUUCUUUCUAUGAUGUAUUAAUUCUUUGGGGUGACCACACCAGCCACUAUCAGCUGCAAGUUGCUGCUGCUGCUAAUGAUGCAGUAUGUGUCAUGGUCAAAUCUUUUGGAGUGUCCAGAGUAUAAAUAAUCGUCACUUUUGUCAUCCAAUAUUGACGUGUGCAAUUAAUGAUGAAGAGGAAGGACAUCCUGUCCUCCGUCCAAUGGUCUGGUGUAAACUUCGCUUCCUGUAUUAAUGCUUCUUAAUGUAGUACAGUAGUUGAUUUGAUUAUAUUCCUUGAACCUGAACAGACGCAGGUCAUAACAGGAAGUUGUGUGCAAGAAACAAUAAUAAGAUGCUAAAAGAAACUUUUUUUUUUUUUUUUUUUUAAGAUAUCUUCUCCUGUUGCCUGAAAACCAAUUAAGGAAAAAAAAAAAAAAAAUUCCCGCCACCAAUUAGAAGUAAUUUGGUGGUCGCCAAGGCACAUGCGACUACUGUCCCUUCCUAAAAUAGUUAGAAAUACACAAUUUUUUUGGUCCAACCCAAAUUCAAAUUGGAGUAAAUUUUUUUUGGUUAGUCUGCGCGGUUUUUAGGGUCUGCGUACAAGUUGACGUUUUCUUGUUCUCAAUGACAGAGAAUUAAUUUUCUCAUGUCAAAAACAAACCCCAUAUGUGAUGCGAUUUGUUGCUUGUAGACGUUACCCAUUAUUCGCAGUUGACUUAUUUGUAUCGUUAAAAACAGGAGGGUUCAUCUAGAAAGGGGUUUAAGUGGUUGACCAAUCAGACGUUCUUCUUCUUCUAUGUAUAUAUAUAUAUAUAUAUUGAGUCAACUAAUCCAAUUAUUAUUGCUGCUUAAUACAUGAUGAAUACAAAUACAUAGCAGACCAGACCUACUUGGCAUGGUGGAUUGCGUCUGAUUGUGGUCCAAAAGUACUUCAACAACAAUGCCUUAUAGAAGGUGGUGUUCGAGCGACUCCAACCAUAAUAUAUACUCCCUAUAAACAAACUAGGCGUGUUGAAUUAGUAAUUUUGUCAUUCUGACACUUAUGAUUAGUACUAAUCAGACCCAAGUUGCCGUACGGAUCCUCUAGCUAAACAAGCUAUUGGUACAAACAAAGAAAAAGCAAUCGUGUCGUGGCAUAUCCUCCGCCAAAAAAAAAAAAAGAAAAGUAUCUGACCCACCCCAGAAUCUCCAAGCAAAAGUUGUUAAACUCAUGCAAGCGCCGAUUCCUUGCUUUCGUUCAUCCUUGGAUACCAGAAGUGGGGGCAGCAACUGCAAGGGGAAGGAAUAUUGGCAUUGUGCCUUGCUCAAAGGCAGAAGUCUUUUCCUUGAAGCCUCUUUCAUUCUUUUUUUGGUCCAAAACGAAGCUUCUUCUUUCAUUCAUUAGUAGCAGCAAUUAUAUAUAUAUAUAUAUGUAUAUUUUUUCCUUUCCCUCCUCCUCUUGCAACUUAAAGAAUUUCUUGACAGAACCAGGGAUUAUCACCACCAAAGAAGAGAUUAAAGAACCAUUUUUCCUUCUCUGAUAAUUUAGAGAUUUUUGCUUCAAGGAGUGAACAACCGUUUAGAAAAAAAGUAUGAAAGAGACGCAACAUAUUAUUGCGUGCGUCAUCUUUGCUAGGGGCUGGCUAAGGCUAACAAAAUUUAAUAUGGCCCAUUCGUUGAACCUUGCAAAUUUAUUCCAACCACUCCUCUGCUCUGCCUGCGGUGAGGCGGCAAUCGUCAAAGCAAAGCAUUGGGUCCAUCCAUUGAGGGAAAAGAAGGAAAGGAAAGAAGAAAAAAAGCAUUGGGUGUACAAUGGCGGCAGGGUAGUGCGGGUCCACCAGUCCAUGCCACGUGCCCAAAAUUGGCUGCUGGCGGUGAUUAAUUUUGAUGGGCCAGAACCUGACAGAUGGGUUAGUUUCUCCAUCGUUAUUUGUUUCUCUUAUGAGAUAUGGACUUGUUGUGAUUUGAAACUCUAUUCGAGCUCAGUCCUGGAAACCUUCUAGAUGUGGGCGGUUUGUGCUGCGGGCGGCCUAUUAGAGUCUCCAAUUGGCCCGUUUUUGACAUGCUGCAAGUGAUUUAAAGAGUGGAUACAGUUAAAUAAUGCAAGGCUCUGGUGAUUAUUUGCCGCGUAUAAAUUUUGAAGAAACACCACGCAGCAUUUCUGACUUCCUAAGCUAAGCCGCCACCGUUCUGUCACUUUCUUGACCAUCUUUUUGGUGGCUUGCAGUUGCAGCUAGUUCUCGUCCGACAGACGUCAGAUUGCGCUGCUUGCAGGAAUAACAAGAAGGUAAAGUAGCAGAGGGCACUAAUUACUAAAUAUAACGGAACAAAUUAAGGCCUAACUCAAGAGACCCAACCUGAAAUCAACAUUUUCUAAACACACAGUACUGAUUUUUUAGUUUUCAAAUUCAAGUCCAAAUCCACCACGGCGGCGCCUUGAGGUUGUGUACGCCACGGUGAAUUGCAAGUAGAAUAAUGAGAAGUUAAACAACAUAAAAAAAAAAAAAAGGUUCUAGGCUCUCAGGAAAUCCAUUUAUAUGCCCCUUUUUGCUGAUUUGUUCUAGGCUACUAAAAGCCUCCCUUCCCAAUUCCCAUCAUCAUAUGUGGGGUGGGCCAAGUGUAACAACAUGGAUCAAGGAGCUAUAUAUAUUUAUACAGAUUCGUUAUGUAAGUAAUAUCGUCGCAUCAUUAACAAGUCAAAAAAAAAAUAGAGUCCAAAUUUCUUCUUACUUAAUUUUACUGUUCGGUAACCCUGGUAAGGAGUAGGGCCUAGAGGCCAAGAGCAAAGCGACACCCUUAGUUGGGCCAAAACUCCCCCUGGAAACAUGCGCUGGUGGGAGAUGGUAUUUUGGGCCAAAACUCAACCCAAGGAAAUUUUUUUUAAUUAUUUUUAAAAAAAGGGAUUUGUGAAGGUUGAAUCUCGGAAUUGCUUCAAUAUAGUUGUAGACAUAUAUAUAGGCAGCCUAGGUUGGUUCUUACGAAGUAAAAUCUCUCAGUUUAUGCCCCCAUGGGCCCCAUCCAGAGGCAGCCAUGGUUUGGUUUGACCAGGCUGGGCGGGUCAUAUGGGUGUUGCAGCAGAACUCUAUCAUCUCAUGAAACCUAAUCCAAUUUACUACUACAAUCCUACAUCUGACGAUAGUCUUACGAAAGAGUUGUUACUACUAGUUCAUCUGUUAGUGGGUCAAGAUUCACCCGAGUCAAACUGCAAAGUGUGGUGGUUAGGACUGUUGGGAAUAAGGCAAUCCAUGUAAAACUGUUCUCCCUACUUCUUUUACAGUUGCAGUUCUUCUUCCGCAACAAUUAUUACUUGGUUUGACCUUCAAUUCUCCCCAAGCAUUAGGCAACGAUCAUUAUAUAUAUGUUGAGAAAAUGUGCAAGUCUUCUUAAAAAAAAAAAGAGGUGUGCAAAUACAGAGGGAAAUGUUGAGAAAAAAAAGGUUUCCUCAUGCAAAUCUCAUUCUGCUCUGCAGAAAGAAGCAUAAGUUCUGUGUUUUGCCCAGUGUUUUUCCAAGUCCUACAAGAAUUUCAUUUCCAGGUGGUUACCUAAAUCUCUAACCAAAAGGAGUCUUAAUUCCAUUCCCAAUCUUAGAGUGAUUCGGUGCGGAAGAAAAAUAAAAUAAAAUAAACGUUACCAUAAUCUGAAUGAAGAAGGUUAUUCUAAAACGACUAAAAAUUGGUAGUAUUUCCUUUUCCAACACGGUCACAGAAAUUGGCGCUCCAUAGUCUAUAUAUAAGAGGCCAUCCAGCCCUCUUCGACAUUAAGAUUACAGCUAUCGAGCCCCCUGCACUUUAGAAGUUUUCAUUCAGGUAAUCUCUCUAUUCUUCGAAUCUUCAAUCUUCAUGCGCCUUGCCUUGCUUCCCAGUUUGGAUUUUAUCAAUUCUACGAGAAGCCUCAUUAGUAUAAUGUAGCAGGAAGUUGUUUAUAGUACGAUUGUAGUUGAAGUUAGAGAUAUUAAGGGUUGAAAAAAAAAGGGCAGUUUGUUGAAACAUAAAUCGAAGUAUACUUGUUGAAGUACAUAUAAUAUGAAUGACUUCUGAUGAUCUUUGACAGGUGCCCCAUCUCCAACAAAACUUGGAACCAUGUUUCCUUUUCAAUUGCAAACCCCUCACCAAACUACCUAACUACUCUUGCCCCACCAGUCUCCUAUAUUAAGACUCCCUCUUCCAAGUCUUUCCCUUCAAUCUUCCCUUCUCUCCAACGCAAGCACUAGUUAUAUUUCUCGCACCAAUUAUCUUUCUGAUCAACAGGCUAAUUGACAAAGAUGGGUGCAACAAUGAGAUGCAUGGUGAUUCUUGGCGUCCUGUUUGCUCUGUUUAUGUCGUCCACUUCUGCGCAGUCAUGUUCAAAGUACAACUUUGCUAGCAAUAAAGUUUUCAGUGCCUGCAGCGAUCUUCCAUAUUUGAACUCCUAUCUUCAUUGGACGUACAGCCCAUCUUCCCAGAGUCUUGAGAUCGCGUUUAGGCGCUUGGGAACAUCAUCAUCAAGAUGGGUUUCUUGGGCUAUUAAUCCAACUUCUCAAGGGAUGGUGGGAUCACAAGCACUCGUGGCUUUCCAGAAAUCUGAUGGAACCAUGAGAGCCUACACUUCGCCUAUAAAAAGUUACCAGACGGGAUUACAAGAAGGAGAUUUGAGCUUCCCAGUUUCGGAUUUAUCUGCUACUUAUUCGAAUAACGAGAUGAUCGUUUAUGCUACCUUGAAGCUGCAGAAUUCCAGCUCUACUCUGAACCAGGUGUGGCAAGAAGGUCCACUCUCAAACGACAGCCCUGGAAUGCAUCCCACCACUGGUCCUAAUGUCCAAUCCAUGGGCACUCUCAACCUACUUUCUGGAGAAUCUAAGACCACAGCAGGAGCCUCAAGUUCAAAACUCAAGGCUAAGAAUGCAAGUCUUUGAAUCGUUUUUCCCUUUCUUUCUUGAGUUCGUGAUUAUAUAUCUUUACUUUCCCCCCAAAAAAAAAAUAUAAAGACUUGUAGAUAGAUAGACAUUCCUUGAAUCUAUUUAACAUGUUAUUUGUAAAGAAAAAGUUAAUCAUGAUAUUGCUGACCCAAUCCGCUUUUUGAUAUGUUUCAGAUUCAUGGGGUGCUGAACGCGGUGAGUUGGGGAAUUCUGAUGCCUCUGGGGGCUAUAAUCGCAAGAUACGUUAAGGAAUUUCCUUUGGCGGACCCUGCUUGGUUUUACCUUCAUGUUACCUGCCAAUUAUCGGCCUUCAUCCUUGGCGUGGCCGGAUUUGGUACUGGGCUCCGCCUGGGGAGCCAGUCUCCAGGAAUCACGUACGCAGUCCACAGGGGCCUUGGCAUUGCUCUCUUUACCCUGGCAUUGGUUCAGGCGAGUGCUUUGCUUAUAAGGCCGAAGAAGGAUCACAAGUGGAGAAGCUACUGGAAUUGCUACCACUACCUGGUCGGAUACGGAAUUCUCGGCAUCAGCAUCGCCAACAUUUUCAAAGGAUUGGAUAUCCUGAGCCCGGAGAAGAAAUGGAAAAGAGCAUACAUUGGCAUCUUGGUGACCCUGGCAUCUCUUGCCCUUCUCUUGGAAGUAAUUGUAUGGUUCCUGAAGAGGAGCAAGAGAUCUGCAGGUGCUGACAAGUUGAAGUCGUCCCACGGCACCAAUGGGACAAAUGGACUAAAUGGCUAUGGAGGAAGGAAGCCUGAGACAGUCUAGUUUACCAACUUGAGAUUUAUUCCUCCCUAUACAACUCUUUUCAUUUAGUGUUUUCCUUUUCGGUCGUACCUAUUUAUGCACCCGCAUGUAUAUUUUCCAACUCGACGGCAGAGGUUUUAAGAUGAGUUUAUGAUUUAGUAGUAGUAGAAUUUUAGAACUCCACGCCGAUAUGUAGGUACUAUUGUUUCUUGAAUGGCAUCUGCGGAUUUAUUAUUUUUUUUUCCCAUGAUUAAAAUCUCUUAUCUAUAUGUGUCUUUUUUCCAUAGUCUUAUUUCUGAUCAAUAGGUGUCUGUACUCUGUAGAAAAAGCAAUUGGUGUAUGAUGACACACAUCAUUAUUUGCAGAGACCUAGAAAUAUUGACAGACAGACAGCAAAUACUUUAUUUGUCCCAGUCAAUUCGUCCACUUCCUGCAACAUGUGCUGAUAUCAAUAAUUUAAUUAUCAUAUUCUCAACCAUCCAUGAAAAAAAGCUAACUUUUUAUGUUGAUUACUUUGCCCUAAUUAUGCAACCAAUGCUAAAAUCAAGUAUCUUACGUUUUCUUGGAAAAAAAAAAUGCCCACAAGAGUUUCCAAGAAACAAACUACAGUAGCGCAAAGAUGCACAUUCCGCGGCAUGGCUAUAAAAACAGCAAAGCGCAGAGAGGAGAGGCAGAAAAUACUCAAACAUAGAACUAGCAAUUUCUUAAGAGCCAUAAGCUUCAGAUAUCAAGAAAAAGCAUUUUUAGGAGCUCCAUCCAAUGUAGGGUGAACUUGGAACUAAGGUAGUCAUAUCAAUUGGACACUACAGCGCAUUUGGUGCAGCUAAUAUUUUGCAACUCAGUAAAACUGACUAGGCCAUUUUCCAGCUAAUUAGAGUGCCUCUAAAGCCUUUGACGUGAACUGAAUAGAUGAAUAAUCUGUAAUUCUUCAUAAUAUAUAAGAAGGUGACUGUUACGGAACUGUUGUGGUAGCUCUCUGAGUUACCACGUUUCUCUCAUUUGGAUUGCUGCAAUGCCUCAAUGAAGGCAUCCUUGAGAAGAGGAUUUGAAGCUGCUAUUCUUUGCGAGGUGAUAUCAAAAUCAGCACCAGACCUGCGGCAAAAGCAACAUGCAAUACUCAUAAAUAUCCUCUUAUCAUAUAUAUAAGUUAAAGCAAUUAUAAAAUUCAGUGCUAUAUCUACAGAUGCGACAUUUAGAGACUUGGCAUGUUUCAUUUUGGAACGACAUUCUGAACUCCAGAACCACUGGAUGAACAGCAUGCAGAUCCAAUUCUUUUAAUAGACCAGGAAGAUGUCAGAAGUUCGGAGGACUUACGGAUCAAACAGAACGCCUCCAGCUUCUUUAACAAUGAGAGCACCACCUGCCACAUCCCAAGGGCCUCCAUAUCCAAGUUCAUAAAAGAGAUCAAGCCUUCCACAUGCAAUACCACAGAGAUUUAAAGCACAGGAGCCACUCAUCCGAAGAGACCUCACCUGAUGUAUUGAGAAACAAGUAAUAUUAAUUAUGCAAUUUAAAAACUAUAUUUAAACUCCUGAUCCCAUUGCAAGGAUUUAUUUUACCUUGAACAGUAAACUGUUAAUUUUGUUGGUACAGGUGUCCACAGUUAGUUUAUCACGCUUUGUCCCAGCCUGCUUCCAGGAAUCAUUCAUUCAGUAGCUGGAAGCAAACUAAACAUCCACAAUUUAAGAUGAAUAAACUUUAUGCUAGUUUGUACUAUCUCAUAGAAUUCACACAUGAGAGAGAGAGUGAAGAAGGAUCAAAUGAAGUCAUCCACAAUCUGAUGCUGCUGGAUCAGAACCAAUGUCUCAAUGUUCCCAAAGGGCAAAGCUAUAGCGCUUUUUCGAGCUAGUUAUUCAAACAAGAAUGCUUAAUGCAAAUUUUAAAAGGGUAAAAGAAAUAGACAAGGCUCAUCAAAAACAUAAUCUGUUGCUGAAAAAAUGUCCAUGGUCUACAAGAACUUAAAUUAUUACCAAAAACUUCAUUCAAUGUUCUAUUUCUGCAUGCUUAUGAUACGUUCAUGUUGCUGAAGAAAGCUGGUGGUGUUCACAAGCAUAAAAUGAGGGAAGGCCUCAAUGUUGUAACCAGCAUACAUUCUUAAAAUGUGCUACAGCUGAUGGAUGAAGAGUUACCCAAUGGUUCCAUGAAAAAGAUACCAGUAUGUGUUUAGCUACGUAUAGCUGAAUACCUACCCCUGUAGCAAGAAGAGACUUCACGAGUUCAGACUGAGAAGACACUGCAUAUGAACAAAAGAAGUUACUGAGAGGUUUCAAGUUUGAAUAGCAUCAAAAUAUAGCACACUAAUUGCAGAACUAAACUUACCUUUUAUUGGUUUUCCAUUCAGAAAAGCUCCUUUCCCCUCUAUCCCAGUGAAAAGCUGCAAAGUAGAAGAAAGAGUUUUCUCAACUCAACCAGCAAUUUUUUUUUUAUUUAUUAUUAUUUUUUGGUGCCACAACUCAAUCAGCAUUUGUUGCUAUACAUCUAUUGGAUUUGCUAUUUGUGAGCAUGAUGAGCAUAAUUUUGGAAACCCACUAUCCACUGGAUAAAGGAACCCCAAUAGCAUGAAGGGAACAAGAAAACAGAAGCAUCGUGCUUAACAGGUUUGCAAGAUGGACUCAGGCAGACACUACAGAAAUUACUCAUGAAACAUUUCAAUUAUUUAAGACAGAUCCCUCUGGCUUUAUUUCUUAGCUUUCUACACAUGUACAUUUUCUCUAACAUUGAUAGUUCAAAUACCAAAACGAGUAGGUUUUUCGUAAUAAAAAACAGUGUCUCACCUCAUCUAUAAUGGGAUUGUAGACAACACCAACUGUUGGAACCUUUCCAAGUGUAAGACCAAUAGAAACGCACACAAAAGGGAACCUACGAGUCACCAUAUUAUCAAAGUAAAUUGCUUUAGUAACUUGCCAUAUAUCAGAAAGUCUGUCUCAAUAGCUAUGCUUAUUGGCAAGGCCAAAUUUUUACCCAUGCACAAAGUUUGUUGUUCCAUCGAGGGGAUCAACAAUCCAAGUUGGUUCAUCAGUUAGCUCUGUGACACCACAAGCAGCAGUAGUUUCUUCUCCAAUGAACUAGCAGGAGCAGAUUAUUAGAACAAAUAUUAGUGCAAAUGUCAUUAAAAAAAAACACAUCCUCAUCAAGCACAAUUCAAACUACACUGCCCAGCCCAAAACAAGGCAUACAGAAUAAUGACAGUUUACCUUGUGGCUUGGAAAAUGUUGCUUAAGGUGAUUGAAUAUGAGAUCUUCACAUGCUUUGUCAGUUUCGGUGACCAAAUCCACCUUCAUUGCAGGGAUGAUAGCGUGGAAGGUAAACAAUAACCAAUUGUCAUUGAGCCUUUAAAAAGAGAGUAAACUGUAUACACUAUUAUAGUUGUAUGUAUGACACAUGCAAAAUUUGGAUUUCAAAUUCAAAUUCGGAUUAUGUGUUAUGUAUCUAAUGAUGAAACUGUAUAUACUAUCAGUGUAUAGAAAAUUAGUCCUCAAAGAAAUGUAUAGGAAAAGUGCAGGGGAAAAAAAAACCGCACCACAUAUCACAUGCAAUUGUAAACAACUAAAAAUGGUCCUUGCUCUUAGAAUUUUGAACCUCCACGCCCCAUUGUAGCAAGCAUUGAACAUUUUGCCUUCAUGUGGGCAUCAAGAAACCACAUAUAUAAGCAUUCCAAAAUCCUGAAAAUCUUUGUUUUGUCGUCAUUGAACAAAUUUUCCCUUAUACCGUACCCAACUCCCAUUGGCGGAAACUACCAUUGAAUUUGAAUGUAGCGGAAACUACCCCCCCCCCCCAAAAAAAAUCAAUCUUUCCACCCACCGUUAAUCAAGUAAAAUCACAUUAGUCACAAUUAACGGCAAUUGGUCAAAUUUGAAAGUAUCAGCAACAAAAGCAAAAUCGAAAAAUUCCCCAGACUCGAAGACAUGAUCUCAAAAGUUUUGGCCUUUCAUGCGAACGUCAAAGACAAAAAGGUGAACACCAGCAGAACAGAGCUCAAUGAACUUCGAAGGGGAAACAAUAAAAGUUCACCACACCUGGCUUUUAUGCUCCACAUGCUUGGUCUGAUAGAACCCAUUACGAAUUAACUGUUAAGAUGAAAGAGAAAAAUGAAAAGUAAAGUAAACCCAAAAUGACAACCUUUUUGAAGAUGUUGAAGGCGAAAAAACCAUACAAUAAAAGCCUAUCAAACAAAUUGAAGGGGGUGGGGGAGCUUAGGAAAUCAAUCAAGCAACUCAAGGGAAAAGCAACAAUGGAGAAAGCGUUAAACUUGAAAAGAAGAAAAUUGGUUGAAUGAGUGUGAGAGUAUUCAACCUCUCCAGCUUUCUUUGCUGCAUCCACUGCAACGGACAGGAAUUCCUCCACUGAUUUCAAUCAAGAAACGAAUUUUCAGUCCCAAGAAACAUGUUACAAACAGCGACGGUACAAUUUCCUUCACAAUCAAAUAACAGAUACAUGCAAAAAAAGAGGAAAAGAAAUUCUAAAUGUGAAAACAUUAAUUGGGGUCCAACCAUUUUGGGCCAUUCUUCUCUCCUGGGGGAAAAUGGGAAAAAGAGGGCGACGCAGACGUGAACAGAAAUGGAGUGGGUGGGGGUGUAGCGGGUUGGGGAUGAUGGACGGUUGGACGCUUUUAGAUCCUACCGGUACUCGUAAUUUGGCUGACACCAAAACAAGGACUGCCGAUGCUUCGUUGCAUGGGGGAGAUGGAAUUGAAACAGGGCAGCCAGCCUCCAACUAUUUUGCUAGUAGUAGUAGCAGGGGAGUGUAAUCUAUAGGCAUUUUUUAUUUUAUUUUAUUUUGUUUUAUUUAUUUAUGGGACGACCCGUCACACUGAUUAGUACUAAAGCUAAGGAGUAGGGACUAGGAACAGGAUACCUGAAAUCAAUUGAUUAGUAGCAUUUUCACCUUAUUAGGUUUUAAAACAGUUCAAAUAAAAAAUGUUAUCUUAAAUACAGUUGAGAUGAGCCCGACUUGCCAAUUUUGAUUCCAAAUUCAACUUGAACCAAUUCCGCUUAUGAUUUUUGAAAUAACAAAACAAGUUUUGAUAUGAACUUUUAAUUAAAAAGGGUUGAACAUGAUUGAAAGGUAGAUAGAUAUCCUUGGAGAUCGGAGCGAAUAACAUUCUUGAAAAUUCUCGCCUGCAUUAUUUGGUUGCUACAACAACUCGUAAUAUGCUCAUUAGAUAUUCCUCGCUAGUCGCUAGCUUACAUGAAAUGGAAAAGCCGCCCUUUUUUUUUCUUUCCUGGUUCUUAAAAAAUCAGCCGUUCUGGGAACCAACCAGAUGGUAACAUUUGUUUCAUUUUUCGUACGGCUAAAAACAUGUUUUGAUUUUAGUUGUAUCGAGAGAGAGAGGGAGAGAGGAAGCGAACCCGAGAAUUUCCACCAAGCAGCCCGACAGAAAGGGGGAUGCUGAGGAAUAUGCCAGCCAGAAUUCUGAUUCCAUCUGGCAAAUUAUUUUUGAUUGUUUCCUGUCGAAGGCUUCUAUUAUUAUUCUCGACACCAUUUCUCCUCUCAUCUGAGCUUGAGCAUGGUUCAGUGGCUGCAAGUGGAGGUUCAAAUUUCACUGCAGAGAAAAAAAUUUAAAAGUAGUGUUCAAUCACUUUUUUGAUCUAUUACAUCUCUUAGUUCUUAAUACAAGUCUCUUUAGAUUUUCCUUCUCCUAUAAAUUAAGAUAAAAUAAAUUAUAUAAUUAUUAUUGUUGCCCUGAAAAAGAAAAAAAAAAAAAAAGAAGCUACUUACUAUGAAUGAGAAUGAUACUCCCCUGCCAAUUUGUCAUUUCUUAGGAAUGCAAUAUGAGACUCCUUUUCCUCUCAAGCCUCGGUGAAACCGUGCACCGGACUGCGACUUUAGGACCUUCUUUGAUUACUUGACAAACACUGCUACAUUAGACAAUUACUAUUUGUUCUCUUUUGCUUCCUUCCAUUGACUUGUACACUUAAACUGUCAUAAUGAUUAAAAAUUUUUAUUAAAAAAAAAAACCAUUCUUCACCUUCCUUUUAACGAACAAAACAAAAACUAGAUCAAGAAUUCAGAACAGAACACUACAGUCUCUUAACCAUAUUCAUUUGCUGCAGCACACAGGUUUUCCCUCUACAAUGCUCAAGAUACCAACAAGUCUGCAAAAUGCUUUGAAGGUUUACAUUAUUCUUAUUAAUAAUACCAGCCAUGUACAUUCCUCGCUGUCAUAUAUCAUGCACCAUUCACAUUCAUAUUCACAUCUCUCUCUCUUGCUGAAUCUAUCGUCUUCCAGCUUUGUAUUCGGAAUAUUGAAACCUCCAGUUAGGGAUGCAAACGAAUCGAGCCGCUCGCGAGCAGCUCGAGUCGAGCUUGAAUCGAGCCGCUCGAUCGACUUGAGCUCGAGCUGGUCGAGCCAGAGUCAAGCUCGAACUCAAAACAUUAAACUCGUUAGCUCACGAGCCGGCUCGCGAGCUCGAGUAUAUAUAUUUAUUUAUUUAUUUUUAAUAGUAAAAUUACAUAAAUAUUCUUAAUAUUUUAUUAUUUAUUAAGAAAAAAUAUUAUUUUAUUUAUUUUUUUAAAAAUAAAAUAAUUAUUUUUUAUUUUUUUCGAGCUCGAGCUUGAAAAUUACCAGCUCGUCGAGCUCGAGCUCGAGUUCGAAUUCGAUGAAAUUAAGUCAAGACUCGACUCGAUAAGGCCAGAGCUCAACUCGGUUCAGCUCGUUUGCAGCCCUAACCUCCAGCAAACUAAAGAAGAAGAAAAAGAAAUGAAAAGCUUUACGAAAAGGGGGUCCAUGUUUCCAGAUAUUCUGUCACUAGAAACUAUCGUUGCAAAUAAAAUUGGAGGGAAGAAAAUAACUCCCGACAGAUAUUACAACUAGGAGGCAUGAACGCGCUUCGCGCGAUAGAAAUAUAAAAUGCCCUGUCCAGUUUUGAAGUAAUAAAAAUAACAAUUUAUUUAGAAAAGUAUAUUUUUUAGCAUAGUUAUUCCACAAGUUAAGUUUUGUUGAUACUUUUUGGCCGUUUCUCACAAAGCGUCUAGUCAAUGGCAACCGUCAACUUGCAUUUUUUGCAAAACCAUUUCUGGUGCAAAAAUGGAACCAAUGUAGUAUAUAAUACAGAGCAAGAAAAGAAAGAGCAUCCCACGAGUUGGUUAUUUACUGAUUGAGAAACUUUUGUGGCCUAUAAUAGCAAACACAAUUGGAAUUAAACAAGCCUAUAAUGUGGUCUAAUAGACUACAAUCUUAAGCAUCCAUUCAACACUAUAUCAAAGUUUCACGAUGACAACUGUUUGAGGGGGCCUAUACAGAACGUGAAAUUAUGAAUCUCUUAAAGACUGUAUUCACCUCUUCAGCCAGUGACAGGAACUUUUGAGACUCAUCAGAAGCAUAACCAGAAGAACCUAGAACUAACAUUCCCGGAGCAAAACAUGCUAAAUCAUCCAUCUGCAUAUAAUUUUGAAAGACAAAUACUAUAAAUUAAUAAUUACUCCUCCACAAAACAAUUAGGAUAUUUAAUCUUGCAAGUUCACACCUCACCUUGUCAGUUAGGGAAUUUCCAAUCUUUUCACAGAUAUAUGCAAAGGAUGAAGGGGUAGUUCUCUUAACCAAGCUUGAAAGACCUUUCAUUGAUGUCUCCCACAUUUUUCUGCUUGCAGAUUCAUGAGAAGAGUUACUUCUCCAGGAUAUUCUAAGUUUAUCUCAAAGUGUGAAAAAGAACUUAAGACAGCAAAGUAAAGAAAUCUACUCCAUGCUCAACAACAAUGCAAUAAGCAAUAUGUACAUUAAACUUCAAUGUCAUUAGUCUCUCGCUUUGAGCUCAUAAUACAUUUUUCUAAUCCCAUAUACGUGACUUUUCUUUUACCUAUAUUUUCUCAGGAUAGCUGACACACUUUGAUACAAGUCUAUAUAUAUAUAGACAUACAUACACACACACACACACACACACAAACAUUAAAAUAGAAAUGUGAAUGCUUUGCAGAAAGUAUGCCUUUUGGGAAAAGAUCGAUAUAUCUAAGGAAAGAAAUGCCAAUGUUUACCUGUAAUGAUUUACAGAAGCAGUUUUGUUUCCUUGUAUCCACACCUUGAGUAAAUAUUCAUAAAAGUUGCCAAAAGAAGAGCUUUUACCAUUAUUCAAAUUACAAAAAAUACAAAGUAAAGAAAAGAAAAAAGUAUAUUUUCAAAGCCAUGGAAAUGAGAUAUACAGGAGGAUAAUUUUGAAGGGACCUAAAUGAAAAACAAAUGCUAUCUAUAGAUUAUGAGAUAAUUACAAAGCAAGUACUGCUAAGGAAUGUAAACAUAUUGAAUAGAUUGUAUCUGUCCCCCAUAGCCCCAGAAGUGAUGGUAGAAUAGGAUGUUGUGCCCCUAUGGGGAUUAACAUAGAUGGGAAGCAAACCAUCAGUAGGAAAGGUCCUUCUAAGAAAUAAAAUAACAUUCUCCACCUGAAAGUAAUGGAUAUGAAUCAUCAGCUGUCUGUCAGAAACUUAUUGGGAAAAAAAAGGUCUAUCCUUAUCUAACUCAGCCAAAAUUCUCUCUUGUUCGAGCACUAUAAAAUCUUAAUAUACACUUUGACUAUUAAAACUUUCAUAAAAUGUUCAUCUCUUUUGUCUCUCUCAGACGCACAGAAGAAGGAAAAGGGGGAAUGAGCGAGCGAAUUACUUGAAAGUGUAAGGAGCUAGUUUUUGGAUACCUUCUGCCGAUACUUUGGGUUUCCAAUCCUUUGAGAAAGAGUAAUAAACUCUAGCUGCUCUGUACCAGAAUCAGCUAAAAUACUAUCAACCUGAGAAAAGGUAAAGUUUUACACAAUUUGUCAUACAUAUGUAUACUCAAGGCAUAGACAUGACAAUGAGCAGAGACAAUGCAAGUAGUUCAUGCAGAGAAGUAGAAAUACAGAAGUUGAUUGGGAGAUACAUGAUUUCAAUGUAAAGAAAGCCAGGAUUAAUAAGAGCAAUGUAAAGCUCAAUUGCCAUUAUAUAAUUGUGAAGAAUCAGGGAAUAUUUAGAUAAUUAUUGUGGCAGGUAUUGCUAUUAUUAUAUCGUGCAGCUGAGUCUUGAAAGGGCCCACAACAAUUUUGUUUUGCUUAAAAGUAUAGCAAAAGUCACAGUUGGACAAUGAACUUGAGUCUAAAUGUUUCAUGAAACAGAAAACAAAUUAACAUAUGUAUCAACUUACACCAGUCGAUCUGGGAUUAUGCGGAUUCCCAUGAGCCAAGCUAAUAACGUUAUAAGGAAUGCCAGAAGGUGUGUCCUAUGUAGGCAGUAGCCUAUCCGCAAUAUCCUGAGCCUUUUCAAGGAAAACCUUAUCCCCAGACAGAUUAUAUGCACUGAGAAGUCCUCCUACCACUCUGGAUUUUGUUAUGAAAAAUUCAUAAGUAACCACCAGUUAUAUGAAUAUCUUGUCUACCUCCAUUUAAAAAGUUGACAAGAAUUUCAGAUGUUAAAACUUAUACAAAGGAAAAGAUGAAAACACAAACCUAAAACACACGAAACAUUAAACCUUAUAAAACAACCUUAUGGUUGUUUCAAACACACUUGCAUCAUAGUUUUUGUUAAAAUCCAAGGAAUUUACAACCCACUUGCCACCAAAUGACCAGAUAAGAUUAGAUAGGAAAAAUGGAUAAGCAAAUACUUACCGAUUAAAGACACUUUGCAAUUAAAAGAUCACCUUACUACAGUGAAACUUUCAGGAGGGGGGAGGGAAAGCAAAUUUGGACAAAGAUAGUGACAACUUAUACGUGUGUGAACAAAGAUAUAGCAAUCAUUUUUUAACAUGGUGACUACAGAAAAACUAAACAGCAAGUGGAAAUUCUACGACAUUGCUGCUAAUCUUCAAUGAAGAAAAAGUCAACAAGCAAAAUUUACAUUUAUGCAAGUGGCUCAAAUGUCUUAACUUGUUUUACACUGCCAACUUCAUUUUCUUUCUUGAAAUUAAAGCAUAAAGGGUUUUGGACAGAAAUCAAAUCCAGCACCGUGGCUAUACCAAAACGAAAAAAUGCCAAGUAUGGUUGUCUUCAAAUUGGUGUAAUUCCUACCUUCUUAACCCAUACAAAACCUUCAACUCUACAUCCUCCUACUGAGAGCGCAGGUCUUUUUGGAUCUUUUGUCUUGUCAGAUUUAUCCUCUAAAGCAAGUCUUUUAGACUCUAGUGAAACAGAUGCAACCAAAGUUUCCAUUGUCUGCAAAUAAUUAAAAAACCCAGUAAUGCCACAUAUAUAAUAGGUGACAACAUCAACACCUAUGCAGGACUACACAAUUCAAUCAUAGGUUUCUAGUAUAGAAAAAUGAUAUCAACUGCAUUGAUAGAUGUGCAGAGUCAUGCUACAUAUACAUUUUCCUUUUCCUUUAUUUAUUUAAUUUUUGUUUUGUUCUUUUACUUCCUUGCUUUACUUCACCUUAUUUUUGCCUUUCCCGUUUAAAACUUUGGGCAUGCAACUCAAUAUUGUUUCUUACCUGGACCAGACUUUCAAUGUCUUGAUCGCCAAAAUAUGAUUCAUGCUCAUGAUGCCCAUGUUCAUCCUUAUAUUAAAACAGACAACAAACUUCUGAUUUGAAUACAGCAAAUUCAAAUAUUACAUAAGGUCAUUAUAAAUGAAAAUUUCUUCUACUUAAAGCUAAAGAAGAGAAAAGUUUGCACUACAGAAGGAAAUUUUUAAUGAGAAAGUUCAGAUUAACCAAGACAAACAUAUAAUAAGCAAACAGUUUUUAACAGGCAACAAAGGUCAAAGAAUCAAAUUUGUACAAAGAUAGUGACAACUUAUACAUGUGUGAACAAAGAUAGCAAAGAAGGUUUAAUACAGAGAAAAAAUAAAAUUAUGGACCAACAUUCAUAUUAGUGUCAUACAGCAGCCUAGCAGAUAUUGCGCAUAGUCCACUUUAUGUCUAGGACUCUUUCCACCGAAUCUAAUAAUGCAAGUAUUAUCAAAUUAUAUUCAACUUUAAUGUCAACGAAAAGGAGAACAAGGUAUAAAAAAUGAAACUGAAACAUUAGAAAAUUUCCAACAGGAAUAUUGCAAGCAAAUUCCAAGUAUGAAGCUAUUGGACAAGGCCAACAAAUCAUAAGUAAGGAUGACAAAAGGAGAAUUUUAAAAAAAAAACUUCUUGAGCAGUUCUCCAUUAAUUUUUUUUAGUCCAAGAGAGAUUUUAAGAUCUUACAAGAAGAAAAGAGAAAUGGAGAAUUAAACUAGUAAUAUAGGCAGCUACCUUCUUUUCAUUAUUUCUUCGGCUGUCUUGAAGUCAUUGCAAAAAGCUUCUAUCCACAACCGUUACGCCAAACAUCUCGAUCAGGCACACCUUCAGUAAAAUAAUUUUGCCCUCCUGAAGCAGCCUCAGUCAAAUCUGGAUCUGGAUCUAUAUCAGAAUUUGGAUGUUUAAGGUCCAAAAUUGCUGCUGCAGAGCCAUCACCUAAGCGGAUCCUGUGAAAAACCAAAAAAAUUAUUUUUGGAUGGCCGACUAUGGUAGCCACCAAGGAGCCCAGGACAAGGGGCGGAAAAAAUACGAACUCCAGAGGAGGGGGAGGAAAACAGGAAGCUUACAGAAAAGAUCGGAGUUCACUGGAAAGUAAGAAGGAGAAAGCUCGCGACGAAGGAGGAGGAAAAGUGAACGAACGGCACAAGAUCUGGACCGAUGCAAACAACAGCGAAGGCGGUAGCUCCUUGGGCGGUAAGAAGACAAUGGAAUUGGCAGAACGGAAUACCACACCGCAACAAAGCUUUGUACCAGUCAGGAGAGCACGCGGAUAAGUGACAGAGCAACAUUGUUGUGAGAAAAAAAAGGAAGAGAAAGGGAAAAGAAUGACAGAAGAAAGAGAGAGAAAGCAGCUGCAGAGGGAAGGCAGCGAGAAGAGAGAAUGCAGCAGAAGCACAUGGGAUACUGGCAGCGAGGCCAGGUGGGAAGCUAACGCGCGAGGCGCGAAGGACUGAAUGCUUCCAAUCCACAUGCCGGGCACGUCAGAGGACGACGAAAGUUUUGGCUGAAUUCUGUUGGGAUGUUAUCUACUUAUUAUGCUGAUAACAUGGCCAUGUCAACUAAUGGAACUACACAAAGCCGUAUUCAUGGGCCCUCUUUCGGCUCUAGCGCAGCAAUUUCUCUGACAACUUGGGCUUUGUCAGCCUCAAACUGUUCAUCCUCUGCACCAAGACGCAAACAACUAGAAUUAGAAUGCACUAAACCCAAUAAGCUCUAGGAGAGGGUAAACCGUACAUGUUUGUUCUCUCUUACCUUUAUCCAACUUGAAAUCAGCAAAGAGGCGCAGAAGUUUGCUUCUAUUUGCCACAAGGAUGCUAACGAUAUCUGGGGGCUUAUGUUGAUUGGCAGCGAAUAACUGUGGGACAAAAAUUGCAUCUUUGGUCAGGAAGAACCAACACCAACCUGGUCUUGAUUUCUUGGCAAAGCAUAUACCAGGGUGGUUGAGAUACGAAGCAAUACCUUAAAAACAUGAAAUGCUUCAAUCUGAAUGCUCUUGCUGGAUUCCUGCCAGAGAACAAGUGUUUGUUCAGUAUGGAACAACAGAUGUAACAGAUCAAAAGAGAUAAAAGAACAAAAUAUAGUUCACCGUCUACAACGGCAAGGGGCAAGAAAGGAAGAAAAGGGAGUUUGGUGAAUGACACAUUCAAAGUACAAUAAGAUUUGACCUUAGCCAAUAUCUAUCUAUUCGUUUAGAAUAAUUUCUUUAUUACAUUGUUGCAGUAAGAUGAUCUUCGGACUAUUUCAAUAUCUUUAUCUAUGCCAAGGAGAGAGAGAGACAGAGAGGCCCAACCAAAUGGUAUUUCUCAAUCAAGAGGAGAAAACAUACUCUAAGAAGAUUCAUUAGAAUCCCCAAGUUGUCUCUUGAGCUAACAUAUCGAGUCAUGACAGCUGAAUUUGAGCGGUCAAGCAGCAUAUCCCCCAGCAACUGUGACCACCAAAAGAAUAAUUGUCUUAAACAAUAACUUUUCAAACAGAAAUAAUAAUAAUAAUAAUAAUAAAUGCUGGACUAAAACAAUAAAUUACAAUCAUCCUAUGAACGCCUAAAUUUUCUUUGGCUGAUAGGAUAAAAGAAGGCCAAAUGGACAGAAUAAAUGCAUCAAAUGCAUGUGCCAUGGUAUAGCUCUUCAGUUCACUUGAGUAAGAGAAUGCAAACUAAAGAAUUAAAAUUUUGGAACUCUUAAUAACAGAGAGACUCGCACUUCAAAAAGAAUGGAGAGAAACCCCUGAACACAAAUUUACUACAAGAUGGCCUUCAUUUUCUUCUGUAUGCCUGGCUUUUAGAAAUUUUAACAACUAUAAUUCCAAUCCUUUUCUCAAUAUUCCUCCUAGUUUGAAAAAAAAUCCUUUGAGAGGUUCCCAUCUGAGAUUUUUCCCGAAUUGGCAACCCCGGAUGCACCAAGUACUGUAGCAGAGACAGAAUUUGCAUGUCUGACAUACUGGUAAACAGUCAGCAUCAACUUCACAUCUUGGAAGAGGUUCCCAUACCGCUGUUGAAUGAAUCAUUAUUGUUGUUAUUAUUCGAUAAUAAUAUUAAGUACAUAAAUUUUCUGCCACGUGUAGGAAAAAAUAAUCUCAGCUGGUAGGGAAGAAUAAGUUUUGUGUUUUGCCUAGUAUUUUUCCAAGUCCUACAAGAAUUUCAUUUCCAGGUGGUUACCUAAAUCUCUAACGAAAAGGAGUCUUAAUUCCAUUCCCAAUAUUAACGCAAGGGAAAAGGAAACCAUUAGGUGAGAUCGAUUUCCCAAUCUUAGACUGACUCGGUGCGGAAGAAAAAUAAAAUAAAAUAAACGUUACCAUAAUCUGAAUUAAGAAGGUUAUUCUAAAACGACUGAAAAUUGGUAGUAUUUCCUUUUCCAACACGGUCACAGAAAUUGGCGCUCCAUAGUCUAUAUAUAAGAGGCCAUCAAGCCCUCUUCGACAUUAAGAUUAUAGCUAUCGAGCCCCCAGCACUUUAGAAGUUUUAACCCGCGAAUUCAUUCAGGUAAUCUCUCUAUUCUUCGAAUCUUUAAUCUUCAAUCUUCAUGCGCCUUGCCUUGCUUCUCACUUUGGAUUUUAUCAAUUCUACGAGAAGCCUCAUUAGUAUAAUGUAGCAGGAAGUUGUUUAUAGUACGAUUGUAGUUGAAGUUGGAGAUAUUAAGGGUUGAAAAGGGCAGUUUGUUGAAACAUAAAUCUACUUAUUAUAUAAGAAAGAAGUGAGAUUGCUGUAGCAAUCUCUAUGGCUGCCAAGUGGCGCCCAUCUACUUUGACACAUGGCUCAUUAAUCUUUUGAGUAAGUUAUCUUUAUUUUUUUUUCCUUUUUCUUUUGGCUUUUAUUUUCCCCUCAUUUCCUCCUUUCCUUUUGGCAAAAGACAACCACAAGAACCCUCAUCCUCAUCUACACUAUCACUUGCAUACUCAAUUUUCACUCUGUAUUCUUUUCAUUUUUUUUUCUUUUUUUCCUUCAUCCUAAAUUUUUUACUCUUUUUUUUUCUAUUAAAUUAGUUGAUGCAUUUUUUUUUCAAUUUUUCCAUAAUUAACUAAAUGAAUGGUUUUUGUUGUUGGAGUGGAUGAGGGAAGAUAGCAAAUUUUAUUGAGUGAAGAUAACAAAUUUUUCUCAACUUAUAUUCAUUCCAAUUUUAGUUUUCAUUUAUUAAAAUUGUUAUUUGAUAAUAGACUAAUAGUGCUAGGAUGGAUGAGGAAUAAUUUGACAAGUGAAGAUCCAAGGUGAAUGAUGGCUGCCAAAUGGCUCCUAUCUACUUUGACAUGCGGCUCAUUAAUCCUUUGAGGAAACUAUUUUUUUUCCCUUUUUCUUGUGUUUUUCUUUUUUCCCCUCAUUUCCUCUUUCCUUUCUGGCAAAGACAACCACAAGAACCCUCAUCCUCAUCUACACUAUCAUUUGCAUGCUCAAUUUUCACUCUGUACUCUUUUCAUUUUUUUCUCUUUUUUUUUCCUUCACCUUAAUCAUUUACUCUUUUUUUUAUAUUGAAUUAGUUGAUGCAUUUUUUUUCAAUUUUUCUAUAAUUAACUAAAUGAAUGGGUUUUGUUGUUUGAGUGGAUGAGGGAAGAUAGCAAUUUUUGUUGAGGGAAGAUAACAAUUUUUCCUCAACUUAUUUUCAUUCCUAUUUUAGUUUUCAUUUAUUAAAAUGGUUAUUUGACAAUAGGCCAAUAGUGCUGGGAUGGAGGAGGAAGAAUUUGACAAGUGAAGAUCGAAGGUGAAUGAUGACUCUGAAGGAAAUAGAGAGGUCUAUUGAAUUUAAAAUUAAUCAAAAUCUCUUAAUUUAUAGAUAGAUAAUUAUAUUUCCAUAUUUUGAUUUAUUUAAAGUUUCUUAAUGGUGAAAAAUGGUUAUUUAUUAGAUGAGAAGGAUGAUAUGUAAAGGAAUUGUCGGGGCUAGCAAUUUAGGAUAUGAAUAAAAUAUUUCGUAUAAUCUCUUCAUUUUAGGUUACUGACUUGUAUCCAUGACAAGUGGUUUAUUUUCAUUGCAUGAUAGUUUGAGAAGAAAAAAAAGUGUAAAACUAGAUUUUAAAAUCAUUUGCUUAAGUUGGUUCUAUGAAUUUGUAUUUUUAUAUAAGCUAGAUGUGGAACUCGAUAUAUCAUGACUAUUUGGCUAAAGGAGUUGAUAAAUUUUUGUAAACUCAAGUAGUUGAAUUGAUUAUUGUUGUUAAGGAAUUGCAAUUGGUGGUGGAAGUCAAAAUUGUGACUUUUAGCCUAGAGUGUGAUUCGACAAAAAAAUUGUAAAAAAAUUCAAUCUUGAUUAAGAAGACAUUUUUACAAUCAAACAAAUGGUUUGUUUCGAAUUUGUAUAUGUACAUUUGCAAACAUGGCAGUACAUAUUUUUAUCUAAUAUUGUUAUUUGUAUCCUCAAGCUUUUUGGCAAAUAAUGUUAUCACCUGUUGUAAUGCUAUUAAAAAGGAUUUAAAUGGAUGGAUUAACAACUCAUUUUUUCUUUGAAAAAGACAAAAAAACCAAUGUGUAGGUUUGUAUGUUUUGAAAAGGAUAGAAAAAUGUGCAAGUUUGUAUCUUUUAUUGAUGUUGAAAAUUGUGACAAAUUUUGGUGAUUUUCUAAACCUUUUCUAAUUAUUAAAGUGCUAGAAGUAUUAUGACUACUUUUGGUUUAGUCACAAUUAAAGUAUGCUGCUAUUAAAUUGAUAAUAUAGUGUACUUAUUAUCUCUCCUUUUUUUGGUAUUAUUAUGCACACAUAGUAUUGGUUCAAAAAUCUUUAUUUCAUAAACGAAAUUUUUCUUCACAGCAAAUUUUAAUUGUUUUGAUGCUCAAAUUUUCUCCUAUAUUUACCAAAAAGAUAUAUUGCUUUAUGUUUAACUACACUUCUAAGGGGCACAGGCCGUGCAAAUGCCUCUAGUCGAAGUAUACUCGUUGAAGUACAUAUAAUAUGAAUGACUUCUGAUGAUCUUUGACGGGUGCCCCAUCUCCAACAAAACUUGGAACCGUGUUUCCUUUUCAAUUGCAAACCCCUCACCAAACUAGCUAACUACUCUUGCCCCACCAGUCUCCUAUAUUAAGACUCUCUCUUCCAAGUCUUUCCCUUCAAUCUUCCCUUCUCUCCAAUGCAAGCACUACUUAUAUUUCUCGCACUAAUUAUCUUUCUGAUCAACAGGCUAAUUGACAAAGAUGGGUGCAACAAGAAGAUGCAUGGUGAUUCUUGGCGUCCUGUUUGCUCUGUUUCUGUCGUCCACUUCUGCACAGUCAUGUUCAAAGUACAACUUUGCCAGCAAUAAAGUUUUCAGUGCCUGCAGCGAUCUUCCAUAUUUGAACUCCUAUCUUCAUUGGACGUACAGCCCAUCUUCCCAGAGUCUUGAGAUAGCGUUUAGGCGCUUGGGAACAUCAUCAUCAAGAUGGGUUUCUUGGGCUAUUAAUCCAACUUCUCAAGGAAUGGUGGGAUCACAAGCACUCGUGGCUUUCCAGAAAUCUGAUGGAACCAUGAGAGCCUACACUUCGCCUAUAAAAAGUUACCAGACGGGAUUACAAGAAGGAGAUUUGAGCUUCCCAGUUUCGGAUUUAUCUGCUACUUAUUCGAAUAAUGAGAUGAUCGUUUAUGCUACCUUGAAGCUGCAGAAUUCGAGCUCUACUCUGAACCAGGUGUGGCAAGAAGGUCCACUCUCAAACGACAGUCCUGGAAUGCAUCCCACCACUGGUCCUAAUGUCCAAUCCAUGGGCACUCUCAACCUACUUUCUGGAGAAUCUAAGACCCCAGCAGGAGCCUCAAGUUCAAAACUCAAGGCUAAGAAUGCAAGUCCUUUAAUCGUUUUUCCCUUUCUUUCUUGAGUUCGUGAUUAUAUAUCUUUUCUUUCCCCCAAAAAAAAAUAUAUAAAGACUUGUAGAUAGAUGGACAUUCCUUGAAUCUAUUUAGCAUGUUAUUUGUAAAGAAAAAGUUAAUCAUGAUAUUGCUGACCCAAUCCGCUUUUUGAUAUGUUUCAGAUUCAUGGGGUGCUGAACGCAGUGAGUUUGGGAAUUCUGAUACCUCUGGGGGCUAUAAUCGCAAGAUACGUUAAGGAAUUUCCUUUGGCGGACCCUGCUUGGUUUUACCUUCAUGUUACCUGCCAAUUAUCGGCCUUCAUCCUUGGCGUGGCCGGAUUUGGUGCUGGGCGCCGCCUGGGGAGCCAGUCUCCAGGAAUCACGUACGCAGUCCACAGGGGCCUUGGCAUUGCUCUCUUUACCCUGGCAUUGGUUCAGGUGAGUGCUUUGCUUAUAAGGCCGAAGAAGGAUCACAAGUGGAGAAGCUACUGGAAUUGCUACCACUACCUGGUCGGAUACGGAAUUCUCGGCAUCAGCAUCGCCAACAUUUCCAAAGGAUUGGAUAUCCUGAGCCCGGAGAAGAAAUGGAAAAGAGCAUACAUUGGCAUCUUGGUGACCCUGGCAUCUCUUGCCCUUCUCUUGGAAGUAAUUAUAUGGUUCCUGAAGAGGAGCAAGAGAUCAGCAGGUGCUGACAAGUGGUCCCACGGCACCAAUGGGACAAAUGGACUAAAUGGCUAUGGAGAAAGGAAGCCUGAGACAGUCUAGUUUACCAACUUGAGAUUUAUUCCUCCCUAUACAACUCUUUUCAUUUAGUGUUUUCCUUUUCGGUCGUACCUAUUUAUGCACCGCAUGUUGUGAUACCCCAAAUUUUAGGAUAUUAUUUUUGUUUAAUCUCAAAGAAAAGAUUAUGGUUUCUUUAUUUUAUUUUUAUUUUAAAACAUUAUUUUAUUUUAAAGACUAAAAACCCUACUUGUAUUUUAAAACCCUAGUUUACUUGUGACUAAUAGGUUGUGUUUAAAUCCCUCAUAUUUGACUGAAAACCCUAAUUUUAUUCUAUGAAAUUGUAAAAUUCAUCACAUUUUUUCUUAAAAUUCCCUUUUAUUUGAAAUACAUUACCUUAUUAUAGCUAUACUACUUAUUUACAUCCUCAAGGGUUGGAAUAAAGAAUAGAAUUAAGAGUUUUACGCUUAGUUUUAUAGUUCGGGUAAAUUAGAGUUUUCACGUAUUUUGGUAAUGCGAUUAAGUGUGGAGGGUUGUGUACUAAAUUUUGUAAUUAAGAGUGAGUUUUAGAUGAGAAAUAAUAUGAGAUUAGAAGUGAGAAUAAUAAGUUAGUAAAUUAUAAGUAAAACGCCUAGUACGUGCGAGUUAAGGAAAAACGGGUAGAACCGACAUGCACCGUUUGUUAUCGAGUGAGUGCACCAUGUGAACACCACUUUAUUACCUUAAUACCCUUGCUAUUAAUUGAGUUAAAUCAGCCCCAAAAUAUCUGAUAAAGCAGCCGAAAAGUUGGAAAAAAAAACAAGAGAGAGAAAAGAAAAUUUUGACCACCAAUUAAAUUGUGACAUGUGUUAAAUUUUGACCAAGCUUUUUUCUUGCUUUCUUAUCUUUCCUUGGGCUGCAUUUCUUCUUCAUUUUCUGCACAUUUGGCCGUGAAAGUGAGGAGAGAAAAGGAGAGAAAGAAACAUUUCAUUCCAUCUUAAUUUCUUACUCAAUCUUGCAAACUAACCGAUGGAUUUACCAAAUAAUCCAUGAAAAUUGCUUAGAAAGGUGGAUUGCUAUCUUGGAGUGGAGAGUUUUGGUGGUUCAAGCUUCCUAGAGGCUGUUGUGCUUCUCCAAUACUAGGUGAGGAAGGUAUUAGUUCAUGGUUGUACUACUUAAUAGUUUACAAGUGAAAGUUAUGGUUUGUUGGGUAGAUCUCAUGGUUUAGUAGUAGAUUUGGUCAAUUCCAGCUUUGUAGUGUAAAAUUUCAGCUUUGGGUUUGAAUGAUUUUCUUCUUAUACUUGCUGUAUGAAUGGUAUAUGAUAUAUAUAAGCUUGUAUAUGAGGUUGUAGUGCUGAUUUCAAGCUUAAAAUGAGAGUUAUACCUUGAAUGGAGCAAAUUUCCAGAAUAUCGGUUUCUUAUGCUUCAGUUCUGUCCUGUUUCAGUGCCCUAUGUUAGAGGCUGAAUUAGGCUUGGUACAAAACAUGAAAGUUGUAGAGAAUGAUAUUUUAUAGUAUUCUACAAAAUUUUAGCUCAAUCGGAGCAACGUAACCUAUGAAAAAACCGAAAUAUCCCUGCUGCCCUGUUUCUAUCCGAACAUACUAAUCAGCUUCUGUAAUUGGUUGUUUUGACCAGGAAUACUACUUAUUUGGAUGUUGAUGUCUUCUUAAGACUUAUAGCCUUAUAUCUUAGCUUUCAAAUGGAUUUAGAAUCACUUGAAUUGGAGUUGUAUAUUCUGAGAUAUGAUUGAAUGACUCAGGACUGCCAUAAUAAACUUCGAAUUGAAAAAUCUGGAGUUGUUUUGAUAAAUUUGACCUAGAUACAUUGCAAACUGGACUAAGUGGCCUUCUUCAACCUUGUAGCCCCUUGUCUUAGUUUCAAAAUGGUAUAAGUUGCACCUCAAUCCGAUAAGCGUAACCUCGGAUGUGCCCAUUCCGCAAAAAUCCGUUAAAACUGUCUUUUGUAAACUUCGUUUCCACACUUGUUAUUAGCUUAAAUUUUUGUCCUUGUAUUGUCCUAAGCAUAUUGAGUGGCUGUUUAUGUUGUGUGUAAUGUUGGGAUUGAUUGAGGAAAAUAAUAAAGCCAUAAAUGGCUGAAAAAUAGGUAAAUACAAAGGGGGUGCUGCCCAAAUUUUCGCUCGAGAACUAAUUUUCUAUUUGAACUUGUAUAUUUUCGUUUGGCAAAUACUAUGACCGUUUUUCCAUCUUAAAACGUGGUCAUUUUUCAAUUGGAAACUCCAAAUGUCUACUUACUCUUAUCAAAUAAAGAGAAGUGAUUUAGGGUUUUCUUGGGUACUUUGUUAUCCUUUUUACAUGAAUUUCAUUAAGACCUUUAGUUUAUAAAAUCUACUUGAAUAUGAGAUGAUUUUGAACCAUAUAAACGAUUCUGAAAACAGUAUUUCUUAGCCUAUCUAGUUGGAUUCCGACUUGUCUUUAGUUCAAGUGUUUUCAUUGAAAAAUUUUAUAAUCCUUUUGAGUUUGGUUUUACAUUUGGUCUACGAAACCCUAAUUAUUUUAUCUAAGGGUCUAAAUGUCCUGGUUUCACUUUAAAUACCUAAUUGUUUGUGCUGGAUGAGCUGUAAUAUUCUGUCUCGUUAACUUUAGGUUUUCUCGGUGACUAAGGAUAAUAUCCGGAAGGAAAUUUUGUAAGUUAUUUUGCGUACAUAGGUGAGUGUUCCUUAUUUGCUAUAUUAUUCUUGACUCCAUGACUUGUGUUAUUGUUUGAUAACGUGUUAAGUACUUUCCAUGAUUUUCGAAACAAGUUUUCUGGGCGAGUGUGUACUUCAUCGCACUCGACCUAAAUACAUAUGAACUUUUUCAUGAUUUAAUGAUUGAACAAAUGAUUAGUUAUGCAUGAAUGUAAGCCUUCUGGCUGAACUGGGCCCUGCCCUUCGUUACCGAUCGACUCGAGCCAGUAGCGGACUCGGUCGGGCGAUAUGGUGACCCUGGGUGUGAACGUCGGUAUACUCGAGUAUUACCUUGUAGUCCGGACAACGUCCGGAUGGGUGGAGCCUGACCAACGGCUGGGAAGGAAUGAACGAACGAAAGAACAAACGAGGGAUUUUACUUACAAAAAUGCAUUUUUAAACGAUUGGAGGAAUAAGGGGAAAUGUCAAGAGAAUGAACGAACAAACAAAUUGCUCAUUGUGAGCCGUAUCCUUUUAAUGAAUGUGUUACUAUCGCUUUCCAUUGUAAAUGUUUCUUGAAUUAUUGAUACUCCAUAUUUCAUGUAUUGAAAUGACUAUUUGAUUAUGUGUUCGGAAUCUCACUGAGCUCUUAACUUAUCUCUUUAGUUUUGUUUUCCUUAACAGGGGAAGGCAUGCAAGGAUGAGAGCUUAGUAUAGACUAGCUUGGUCUAACUCUUUGAUUUUGUAAUGGUUCUCGCCCUAGUGCUUGGCACGGGCUGAUUGUAUGGUGAAGUGAGAACCUUUGUACCUUUGAUGGUUGUAUUUUUUUUUGAGAUAGUAAUGUAUAUAUAAGUUUCACUUAAAUUUUGGAUUGUUGUAUGUUAUUUCUUUGGUUAUAUUCCGAAUUUGAUUAAGGAACGACUGAAUCCCGGCGAGAGUUGGGCAGGCGACCCGCCGAACCCUUUGGUACGCCUUAGGGGAAGGUAGGACCGUCACACAUGUAUAUUUUCCAACUCGACGGUAGGGGUUUUAAGAUGAGUUUAUGAUUUAGUAGUAGUAGAAUUUUAGAACUCCACGCCGAUAUGUAGGUACUAUUGUUUCUUGAAUGGCAUCUGCGGAUUUAUUUUUUUUUCGACGAUUAAAAUCUCUUAUCUAUAUGUGCCUUUUUUCCAUACUCUUAUUUCUGAUGAUCAAUAGGUGUCUGUGCUCUGUAGAAAAAGCAAUAGGCGUAUGAUGACACACUUCAUUAUUUGCAGAGACCCAGAAAUAUUGACAGACAGAGCAAAUUCUAAACGAUGUGCAAUUUCUUAAAAAAAGUACAGUAGCUUCGAAUCCUUGUAUAAAAAAGGAUACCUUAAUCGCUGCAUUAGCACAAGGGAGGAACUGAUGACAGAAAUUUGGUAAUGGUUUGCCGCCACCAAAUUCCAUGUCGUGACAUCAAUAGCUUAACUACCUACUCCGUCCGUCCUGUUGCAUAGAGUAGUUCGCGUUACGGUUGGUUUCAUUAAUCUACUUUAUUUGUCCCAGUCAAUUCGUCCACUUCCUGCAACAUGUGCUGAUAUCAAUAAUUUAAUUAUCAUAUUCUCAACCAUCCAUGAAAAAAAGCUUAACUUUUUAUGUUGAUCAGUUUCUAAUGCGAACCACAAAUUUAGGCCCUAAUUAUGCAACCAAUGCUAAAAUCAAGUAUCUUACGUUUUCUUGGGAAAAAAAAAAUGCCCACGAGAGUUUCCAAGAAACAAACUACAAUAGUGCAAAGAUGCACAUUCCGCGGCAUGGCUAUAAAAACAGCAAAGCGCAGAGAGGAGAGGCAGAAAAUACUCAAACAUAGAACUAGCAAUUUCUCAAGAGCCAUAAGCUUCAGAUAUCAAGAAAAAGCAUUUUUAGGAGCUCCAUCCAAUGUAGGGUGAACUUGGAACUAAGGUAGUCAUAUCAAUUGGACACUACAGCGCAUUUGGUGCAGCUAAUAUUUUGCAACUCAGUAAAACUGACUAGGCCAUUUUCCAGCUAAUUAGAGUGCUUCUAAAGCCUUUGAUGUGAACUGAAUAGAUGAAUAAUCUGUAAUUCUUCAUAAUAUAUAAGAAGGUGACUGUUACGGAACUGUUGUGGUAGCUCUCUGAGUUACCAUGUUUCUCUCAUUUGGAUUGCUGCAAUGCCUCAAUGAAGGCAUCCUUGAGAAGAGAAUUUGAAGCUGCUAUUCUUUGCGAGGUGAUAUCAAAAUCAGCACCAGACCUGCAGCAAAAGCAACAUGCAAUACUCAUAAAUAGCCUCUUAUCAUAUAUAUAAGUUAAAGCAAUUAUAAAAUUCAGUGCUAUUUCUACGGAUGCGACAUUUAGAGACUUGGCAUGUUUCAUUUUGGAACGACAUUCUGAACUCCAGAACUACUGGAUGAGCAGCAUGCAGAUCCAAUUCUUUUAAUAGACCAGGAAGAUGUCAGAAGUUCAGAGGACUUACGGAUCAAACAGAACACCUCCAGCUUCUUUAACAAUGAGAGCACCACCUGCCACAUCCCAAGGGCCUCCAUAUCCAAGUUCAUAAAAGAGAUCAAGCCUUCCACAUGCAAUACCACAGAGAUUUAAAGCACAGGAGCCACUCAUCCGAAGAGACCUCACCUGAUGUAUUGAGAAACAAGUAAUAUUAAUUAUGCAAUUUAAAAACUAUAUUUAAACUCCUGAUGGGCCCCAUCCAGAGGCAGCCAUGGUUUGGUUUGACCAGGCUGGGCGGGUCAUAUGGGUGUUGCAGCAGAACUCUAUCAUCUCAUGAAACCUAAUCCAAUUUACUACUACAAUCCUACAUCUGACGAUAGUCUUACGAAAGAGUUGUUACUACUAGUUCAUCUGUUAGUGGGUCAAGAUUCACCCGAGUCAAACUGCAAAGUGUGGUGGUUAGGACUGUUGGGAAUAAGGCAAUCCAUGUAAAACUGUUCUCCCUACUUCUUUUACAGUUGCAGUUCUUCUUCCGCAACAAUUAUUACUUGGUUUGACCUUCAAUUCUCCCCAAGCAUUAGGCAACGAUCAUUAUAUAUAUGUUGAGAAAAUGUGCAAGUCUUCUUAAAAAAAAAAAGAGGUGUGCAAAUACAGAGGGAAAUGUUGAGAAAAAAAAGGUUUCCUCAUGCAAAUCUCAUUCUGCUCUGCAGAAAGAAGCAUAAGUUCUGUGUUUUGCCCAGUGUUUUUCCAAGUCCUACAAGAAUUUCAUUUCCAGGUGGUUACCUAAAUCUCUAACCAAAAGGAGUCUUAAUUCCAUUCCCAAUCUUAGAGUGAUUCGGUGCGGAAGAAAAAUAAAAUAAAAUAAACGUUACCAUAAUCUGAAUGAAGAAGGUUAUUCUAAAACGACUAAAAAUUGGUAGUAUUUCCUUUUCCAACACGGUCACAGAAAUUGGCGCUCCAUAGUCUAUAUAUAAGAGGCCAUCCAGCCCUCUUCGACAUUAAGAUUACAGCUAUCGAGCCCCCUGCACUUUAGAAGUUUUCAUUCAGGUAAUCUCUCUAUUCUUCGAAUCUUCAAUCUUCAUGCGCCUUGCCUUGCUUCCCAGUUUGGAUUUUAUCAAUUCUACGAGAAGCCUCAUUAGUAUAAUGUAGCAGGAAGUUGUUUAUAGUACGAUUGUAGUUGAAGUUAGAGAUAUUAAGGGUUGAAAAAAAAAGGGCAGUUUGUUGAAACAUAAAUCGAAGUAUACUUGUUGAAGUACAUAUAAUAUGAAUGACUUCUGAUGAUCUUUGACAGGUGCCCCAUCUCCAACAAAACUUGGAACCAUGUUUCCUUUUCAAUUGCAAACCCCUCACCAAACUACCUAACUACUCUUGCCCCACCAGUCUCCUAUAUUAAGACUCCCUCUUCCAAGUCUUUCCCUUCAAUCUUCCCUUCUCUCCAACGCAAGCACUAGUUAUAUUUCUCGCACCAAUUAUCUUUCUGAUCAACAGGCUAAUUGACAAAGAUGGGUGCAACAAUGAGAUGCAUGGUGAUUCUUGGCGUCCUGUUUGCUCUGUUUAUGUCGUCCACUUCUGCGCAGUCAUGUUCAAAGUACAACUUUGCUAGCAAUAAAGUUUUCAGUGCCUGCAGCGAUCUUCCAUAUUUGAACUCCUAUCUUCAUUGGACGUACAGCCCAUCUUCCCAGAGUCUUGAGAUCGCGUUUAGGCGCUUGGGAACAUCAUCAUCAAGAUGGGUUUCUUGGGCUAUUAAUCCAACUUCUCAAGGGAUGGUGGGAUCACAAGCACUCGUGGCUUUCCAGAAAUCUGAUGGAACCAUGAGAGCCUACACUUCGCCUAUAAAAAGUUACCAGACGGGAUUACAAGAAGGAGAUUUGAGCUUCCCAGUUUCGGAUUUAUCUGCUACUUAUUCGAAUAACGAGAUGAUCGUUUAUGCUACCUUGAAGCUGCAGAAUUCCAGCUCUACUCUGAACCAGGUGUGGCAAGAAGGUCCACUCUCAAACGACAGCCCUGGAAUGCAUCCCACCACUGGUCCUAAUGUCCAAUCCAUGGGCACUCUCAACCUACUUUCUGGAGAAUCUAAGACCACAGCAGGAGCCUCAAGUUCAAAACUCAAGGCUAAGAAUGCAAGUCUUUGAAUCGUUUUUCCCUUUCUUUCUUGAGUUCGUGAUUAUAUAUCUUUACUUUCCCCCCAAAAAAAAAAUAUAAAGACUUGUAGAUAGAUAGACAUUCCUUGAAUCUAUUUAACAUGUUAUUUGUAAAGAAAAAGUUAAUCAUGAUAUUGCUGACCCAAUCCGCUUUUUGAUAUGUUUCAGAUUCAUGGGGUGCUGAACGCGGUGAGUUGGGGAAUUCUGAUGCCUCUGGGGGCUAUAAUCGCAAGAUACGUUAAGGAAUUUCCUUUGGCGGACCCUGCUUGGUUUUACCUUCAUGUUACCUGCCAAUUAUCGGCCUUCAUCCUUGGCGUGGCCGGAUUUGGUACUGGGCUCCGCCUGGGGAGCCAGUCUCCAGGAAUCACGUACGCAGUCCACAGGGGCCUUGGCAUUGCUCUCUUUACCCUGGCAUUGGUUCAGGCGAGUGCUUUGCUUAUAAGGCCGAAGAAGGAUCACAAGUGGAGAAGCUACUGGAAUUGCUACCACUACCUGGUCGGAUACGGAAUUCUCGGCAUCAGCAUCGCCAACAUUUUCAAAGGAUUGGAUAUCCUGAGCCCGGAGAAGAAAUGGAAAAGAGCAUACAUUGGCAUCUUGGUGACCCUGGCAUCUCUUGCCCUUCUCUUGGAAGUAAUUGUAUGGUUCCUGAAGAGGAGCAAGAGAUCUGCAGGUGCUGACAAGUUGAAGUCGUCCCACGGCACCAAUGGGACAAAUGGACUAAAUGGCUAUGGAGGAAGGAAGCCUGAGACAGUCUAGUUUACCAACUUGAGAUUUAUUCCUCCCUAUACAACUCUUUUCAUUUAGUGUUUUCCUUUUCGGUCGUACCUAUUUAUGCACCCGCAUGUAUAUUUUCCAACUCGACGGCAGAGGUUUUAAGAUGAGUUUAUGAUUUAGUAGUAGUAGAAUUUUAGAACUCCACGCCGAUAUGUAGGUACUAUUGUUUCUUGAAUGGCAUCUGCGGAUUUAUUAUUUUUUUUUCCCAUGAUUAAAAUCUCUUAUCUAUAUGUGUCUUUUUUCCAUAGUCUUAUUUCUGAUCAAUAGGUGUCUGUACUCUGUAGAAAAAGCAAUUGGUGUAUGAUGACACACAUCAUUAUUUGCAGAGACCUAGAAAUAUUGACAGACAGACAGCAAAUACUUUAUUUGUCCCAGUCAAUUCGUCCACUUCCUGCAACAUGUGCUGAUAUCAAUAAUUUAAUUAUCAUAUUCUCAACCAUCCAUGAAAAAAAGCUAACUUUUUAUGUUGAUUACUUUGCCCUAAUUAUGCAACCAAUGCUAAAAUCAAGUAUCUUACGUUUUCUUGGAAAAAAAAAAUGCCCACAAGAGUUUCCAAGAAACAAACUACAGUAGCGCAAAGAUGCACAUUCCGCGGCAUGGCUAUAAAAACAGCAAAGCGCAGAGAGGAGAGGCAGAAAAUACUCAAACAUAGAACUAGCAAUUUCUUAAGAGCCAUAAGCUUCAGAUAUCAAGAAAAAGCAUUUUUAGGAGCUCCAUCCAAUGUAGGGUGAACUUGGAACUAAGGUAGUCAUAUCAAUUGGACACUACAGCGCAUUUGGUGCAGCUAAUAUUUUGCAACUCAGUAAAACUGACUAGGCCAUUUUCCAGCUAAUUAGAGUGCCUCUAAAGCCUUUGACGUGAACUGAAUAGAUGAAUAAUCUGUAAUUCUUCAUAAUAUAUAAGAAGGUGACUGUUACGGAACUGUUGUGGUAGCUCUCUGAGUUACCACGUUUCUCUCAUUUGGAUUGCUGCAAUGCCUCAAUGAAGGCAUCCUUGAGAAGAGGAUUUGAAGCUGCUAUUCUUUGCGAGGUGAUAUCAAAAUCAGCACCAGACCUGCGGCAAAAGCAACAUGCAAUACUCAUAAAUAUCCUCUUAUCAUAUAUAUAAGUUAAAGCAAUUAUAAAAUUCAGUGCUAUAUCUACAGAUGCGACAUUU